AGAGAGAGAGAGAGAGAGAGAGGUGGAUGAGUAUGAGGUACGUACCUGCUGCAGAAUGGCAAGGGCAGUGGUGCUGCUGCAAUUGCCAUGGCUGUAACUCCCACAAGUUCCGUGUGGAGUCCCAAAGCUCGCAAACUUCACCGAGGAAAUGACACGAUCGGAGUGAGGACAUUCGAGAUGGAGCACUGCGUCCUUUUUCUGUGCAGUGUUCACAGCAUCCACAGGUGGAGGGUGGGACUGAGAGACGUGUGCACACAAGCUUCCCGCCGCCCUCAAAGCGAAGGACACCAGAGUCGGAUCUCCACCCACUUCCUCGAAAAGAACCAGUCUAUUCGUAUUGCCUUGUUGGAUCAGCGAGCGAGGAACAUGGUACCUGUCAAACAAGCACCAAAACGAGUUGACAUGAUAGGAAGAAGAAGGCGGCUCUGCUUUGAGAUGGGGAAAUGCAAGUCUUACAGUGACUGAGAUGGCUGUCCACAGUUCCUGACGCACUUGCUCCCGCUGAACGGUCCUCUGUAGUCGCAUGAUUGGACACAGCCGCUCGGUGGAGAGGUAUACGUCGGCCAGUACCGGCCGAUGCUGUGGCCAUUCACCCAUGCCUCGCCCUUCCCCAUUCCGGUGAAGUCUAUUGCAACAGGGUCAUCGUGCUCAGGGGCAUCAAAGUACGUCUGCAAGAGGAAUUAGAUAGGCAUGUAUUCAUAUCAAUUUUGUGAAUCCACUGUAACAUUUUGUGCACUGAAAAUAUUCUCCAAUCUUUACUGAACAUGAUGAAAUUUACAGAGAGACAAAGAACUCACCAUGUACCAUGUCAGUGGCUGAUUUUUCGGCAAGGAAGAUAGUGACAUCCAUGUUGAAUUUUGUGUGUUGUCAUGCAAUGCCAGCUGUUCACCUUUGAGUCCAAUCUGCAUCAGCACACAGCUUAAGAUGAAGAAGCCAGAUGCCAAUCAUUGCCUUCUUAUCUUUGAGAAGCAUCUACUUUGAAAGCUUUAAGUAGAUAUCAGCCAUAUAUUGAAUUUUUCAUUUCAUAAACAUUAGAAUGAUAAAUAAUAUACAAAUUGCACACAAGAAACAAUUACUUCAAUUUUUACAAGAUUUUGAAAGAUUAUUAUUGUAUCUUAAUCACUCGGUUUACAAUAUUUUAGUUUCAUAACUAUCUGUCUGAAGCAGUAUGUAAUUGCAAAGGACAUGAGAAACCUGAUAAGUCCACUGGGAUGAAGAAAGAUCUCUUGUGGCAUUGUGGUUCUUCAGGAUCACACCAGUGAUUCCAGCACCGCUUAGAUCAAAAAAUUGACCAUAGUUCUGUGGAAGAGAGAGAGAGAGAGAGAGAGAGCAUAUCAAGCAUAUAUUCACAUAAAGCUAAACAAAUUGUAGCAAUAUAACAAUCUAAAGAAACAUUUCCAUAUCUUAGAGGGGAACACAACCUUAAGGCCUACGGUCGCACUUAAAAGAUCAAUUCUGUUCUGUCCUGAUGAAAGUGUGAUAACAUUCUCCAGUUUAAAACUCGCAUCAGCAUUGCUGCCUUGAUUACUUGCUGUAGAAAACAUGGCAUGCCAAAUUAAGCAGAAAACUGGUUAAGGAGGAAAGCCUGAUAGCUACAGGAAUAACAUAUGACCUGAUAAUUUGCCAUUGACAAAAACAUGGAGGACAUGACCGAGUGAGUCCACAUGCAGAGUAGUCUGAGUGCCAUUGAAAAGAAAUGGUUCGUUUCCUAUGACAUCAAUGCUGUAGGAGCAUGAAGAACAGGACAAUCAGUACGUGAUUUACAUCACUGUGUAUGUGAAGUUGCAAUAUAACUCUUACCUUAUUGAAUACCACAAGUAGUCACUGGAAUCAGCAGUAGUAUUUAUCUGCUCAAGCAAUCCAACAUUUUUGAAAGUAGAGUUGAUGGAACCAAUAGGUUCUGUGAAGAAUUUCCAUUCUGAUUCAGAUAUUUCAGAGGAACCAGUGGAUUCAUCUGCAGCCUGAUCGAAAGUUUUGGUGUAUUUCAUCUCCAAAACAGUUGUCUGGGAAUUUAUCUGCCAUUGACAUAGAAUCAUAUAAAAUCCAUGGAUCAGUAGCAGUUUUACAACAACAAGAUGUGGCAGUUGUACAUGGAUAAAUUGAACUAUAUUAAGUUCAUUAUAGGCAUUUUUACUUUUUGAAUGACUGGAAUUUAGAGAUCUUUCCCAUUGAGACUCAUCGUAAGAUAGUUAAGCAUACCUUUGCAGUAUUGAAUGCAACACUUUGGCAGUCAGGAAGGAUGCUCACAGACCAUGCAGGUAACUGGUAUGGUUUGCCAUUGAAAGUAACAGUUGCAUCAGAAUGGUCAUCUAUGUUGGCAAGAAAAGCCACACAUCUCCCUGAUGAUGUCCUAUAAACAUGGGCCUAAAGCAAGCAAAUAUUUUAGCAAUGUGACAGAAGAAAAAUGCAUAAAGCAACAUUAGUGUAGCAUACCAAAACAAGGGUGUUACAAUUAUAAAUCAACAUUGCUACAACUAGUAGGAUUCUAUUUACUUGCUUACAUGAGAAGUGCUAUCAAAGAGGUCCACUUGCAUAAAAAAAUCUCAUGAAUUCAGGUGUUCACAAGUUCUUCAAAUAAGGAACUGUUUGCCUAAUGAUAUUGAUUAGAAGUCCUGUAUCUUUGUAUUUCCAUGAGAUUGUCUUUUAUGCAUGAGCACAACGGCACAAGGCUACAAUAAUUCAGAACUUCUAUCUAUGCUCCCUCAUUCUCCAUAUCUUAUACAGUGCCAAUCUAAAAUUGAUAAUUCAAAACACAAAAUCUCUCCAUACGCAAGCCCUCUUGCAUAUAAAAAGAAAAAAGAGCAAAAAUUAAAAAGAAAGCUAUCUUACUAGAAGUACUCAACAGGAGAAAAAGGGGUCUAAUGUAGUAAUAAUAAGAACAGUAAAUGGUAUAUGCAUGAGGAGCAUUCAAGGUUGUGUACCUCUAAAUUUUUGCCAAGAGAAGUGUAUGUUGGAUCGGUUGCCACCAAUGCUUCUUCACACUGCUUUAUGACUUUGUGCAGAUCUCUCAGGUGGCCCCAUUUUGGCUGCCGAAGAAGUCCUGAUGAAGUGCAACAAGAACGAUAUAUAAAAAAUUGCAAGAGAAGAGAAAGUUGUUUCCCCUCCAAUUUGUAUGUAAAUCAAAUACAGAGAGAAAAGUUUCAGAUUGGAGGAUGCAACAUUUGGUGAUUCAAAAUGCUUAUAAUUAGUGCUACCACCAAUACAUCACUAAAAAUAUACUAUAUAAUCCAAAAAUAACAGAUUAUAUUCUUACCAUAUUCAUCAAUGGGAGAAUCAUAAUCAUAGCUUGUAGCAAUAAAUGGUCCACCAGAAGUGCGGCCAAAAUUGGUUCCACCAUGGUACUGGAAAUGAUAAAGAAAAGACAUGUUACUACGUUAUUUACUGAUGAAAACUUCGACAAGAUGAAAUAAACAACACUAUCUACAUACCAUGUAAUAGUUUUGGAAGGUACCACCACGUUGGAAGAACCUGGCUACAGCAAAUGCAAGGUCUUCAACAGGUCUGUAAGGCACUCCACCACCAAAAGAAAGGAACCUGGCAGGAAAGGAGACAGAAAUGUUUGGUUAGGAAAAGCUUUUGGUCUUGUAAGCAUUGCAUCGAACACCAGAAGUACCAGACACAACGAAACAUAUGGCUAUCGAGAGCUACACUGCCUUACCAUCCACUCCAAUUCUCUGUCCACAUCUUCGGUUUCUUGUCAGAGUUGGGCUUAAAAUUGUCACAGUAAAAUCCAUUGCAAGUGUUGAUCUGCAAAAGAGAACAUGUCUCGGCAAUCAAAUCGGUGCGCAACUCCAUUAGCAGAGCAGCAUUUUUGCUCAUCAAACAGAACAUCAAGAAAUGGAUAGAAUUUGAAUCAUCCAACUCACAAUGGGGUCAGGGGCAUUAUCUUGUUGGCACAUCACCCAUGGCACGCUCACAUUCAAGGAAGUAGCCAUGGAUGCAGCCCAAUCAAUAUAAGACUUGGCCGUCGGACCAUAAUAUUGCUCAACAUUGCCAUACUCAUUCUCAAUCUACCAUGGGCAAUAGAGUGGAUCAGCUGCAGUGAUCAAUAUCGAUCUUGUCGCAGAAUUUAAAUCAACCUAUAAAGCAGGAGAUAAGCACCUGAGACAGAAUGAUGGGUCCACCUUGGGAUGCAAACAGCAUUUCCUGCUUCAUCAUGUCCACAAUCUUUGUCGUGAACUUUUGCAUCUCGUUCUGGAAGAAAAGAGAUGUCAGAGAAACACUCCAAAAGAACAACUAAUGGGAACUCUCAACGAUCAGACGGGCAGUAGAAAUCAAACUAGAAGACACUUUAACCUUGAAGGGAUCAUUGUCAAUCCUGAACUUGAUAUUUGGGAUGAAGUGCAACCACACAGGAAACCCUCUGCAUCAUAUGAAAUCUCAGAACAUUGAACAAAGACAGACUAAUUAUGUGGAGGAAUGAACCCUUUACGCACCCGUAGUUCCACUCCGCGCAGACAUAAGGCCCGAUCCUGAGAUGAACAUAGAGGCCGGCGGCCGCCACCGUCUUAAUGAACUUCACCAAGUCCUUCCGCCCUCCAAAAUCGUACUGUUACCAAACAGACGUCUAUGUUAGAGAGAGAGAGAGAUGAGAUAUGUGAAAUAUCAGUGGGAAUGACCUGGCCCUGCACGGGUUCGUGGAGGUUCCAGAAGACGUAGGUCUCGAUGACGUCGAGGCCGCCAUCCUUAGACUUCUGGAUGAGGUCCGGCCACAUCUGCAGCACCGCAAGCUCUUCCGAUCAGCUAAAGCAUUAAUAGCGGAGAAGCUAAUACAUAGAGAGAGAGAGAGAGAGAGAGAGAGAGAGAGAGAGAGACCUCAGGGGUGCUGCGGGGGUAGUGGAUGGAACCGGAGAUGAGGACCCUCCGCUUACCGUCGAUCACCACCGCCCGGUGAUCGUACGACACAGUGGCCGCGGAACAUAGCUCGGAGCAGCAGCUGAGCAGCAAAAGAAGGAGGAGCAGAAGCGACGUAGACACGGGAGAAGGGAGCGUCGGGUGGGCUGCCAUGAGCAACUGUGUUGGCGUAAGAAGAAUGCGCGCAGGGGAGCGGUCGUGUUCGGUGUGAUCAUGCACGGGCAUGCAUCCAAGCGGCUCGCAAGAGGAAGCGACGUCUUCUUCUAAACACGAUGUAGCUUCCUAUUAAUAACUCUCCUCUUCCGUUGAUUACGCUUCUUUCUCAUCUUUAUUGCUGUUACUACUGUUAUUUCAUGCUUAUCUCUUAUUAUCUGUCCUUAACAGAUUUUAUUUCUUACGGAUAAGACAUUUAUCAACAGGUUGACUUCUUUUUUAUUUUUUCGAAAAAAAUAUUUUUUUUAUUGUGUUUAUUUUUAUUAUCUUUAUAUUAUAAAAAAAUUAAAGUAUUAAUUAACGAGGAUAUUUCAUUAAAAAAAUGACAUUGGAAUCAAAAGAAUCAUUUUGAUCGAAGACAAAUUGCAUUUUUUUUUCUUUUAUCAUGUGACAGAAAAUAUAAUUCAAAAAAUAUUUCCUCGAAAGACCUAUAAAAAUUUUAUUAGAAAUAGUAAAAAGAUAUUUAAAUUUAUCAAAAAAAAUAUCAUUAAUGUCUUGAUCAACCCAACGUUCCUCGAGAUGCCACCUACAUGAAGAUCGAGAUCAAAAAACUAAUUUGUAAUCGACACUCUAUUUUUUAUCAUUUGUCCCUUCUCCUACUGCAUUUGAAAGUGUGUUUCGAAGUGUGUCAUUUACGUGAAGGCAAGAAGUUCUUAGUUGUAAUAAAGCUAAUUCAACAACACGGUAAUCUGGCAAGUUCAGCUUGAGAUCAUAAAUAAACCGGAAUUAACAGUACAAGACAAAUGGCUUGAUUCAGAAAUGGCAUUCAUGGAGUUGAGAUAAAUGUCUUCUUGUUAACAGAAAUAUAAGCAGCAGUAUCCAAAACAUGGAUGAGUUUAUCUUCCAUAUUGGAAUGGUAAACAGAUGCUUGUCUGAUAUGCCAUAUCUUCUCAAAGAACACAAGGAAAAAGAGCAUUUAUUCGCAAGUAACUUGAACGUCAGGCGACAGCAAUUUAUUGAUGAAAGGUUCAAGCAACAGAUUUUUGAAGCUUAGAAACCAAUCAAUCCUGAAAAGACAUCAGACUCAAAUGUACCUUUUGGGUUAUAAAAAUGCUUACAAAUGAUGGACAUGUAUAUGGAAAAAACAUCAGAUCUUACCACCAAAACACUGCUACUUUGCUCACAUCAAAAUGCAAGUGCAAUGCCAUGAAGGAUUGCUGUCUGCAGUGCAGAAUCCGAAAUGGUAGAUUGUGUAAAAGAGAUGAUGAUCAUGUUCUAAUGCAUUCUGACCGAACCGAACUAUAAUUAACUGCACGUAGUUUCCUUGACGAAGCAGACCAAUGAAACAAAUCUGAAAAUAUGAACUAGUAAUCGAAUUUUUGAAGUCCUUGAUUCUCUCUUCUCUUCUCACAUCAACCUCAGAAGUUUGGACCUGCAGCAAGGAUCUCCUCAGCCAGUUUGGCAUCUUCACCAAUCUUGUAGUUAGCAAACACCUCAAAGUUCUUCCUGAACAGACCAGCCAGCUUUAGCAAAGUCUCCUCAUAGGCUGCCUUCUCUGGCCACUGUAAAGCACACAAAUCACCCAUGUCAGGCAACAACAUCUCCGCGAUCGACAUCGAUCAUUUGUUCUACAAACAACUGACUUACAGUGUUCUCCGGGUCCAAAAUCUCCGACGGCACGCCUUCAACUUCAGUAGGUAUCUCCAGUCCAAACACUUGUGUCUUCUUGUAAUCUGCAUUCAGAAGGCUGCCGGAGUGUAUGGCGUCGAUAAUUUUCCGAGUGUAUGCCAGCUUAAUGCGGCUGCCGAUACCGUAUCUGAAUAAAAGCGAUAAGGUAGCCAGAGUCGAUCAGAUCAAGUUUUUCCAUGAACUAUAGCCUGUAUCACCGAAAUGUGGUGUGUAAUCUCUUACCUUCCGCCAGACCAACCAGUGUUCACAAGCCAUGCUGUGGCUCCAUACUUCUGCAUUUUCUCAACCAGCAUGGCUGCAUACCGAGUCGGAUGGAGCAUUAUAAAUGCUGCCCCAAAGCAUGCUGAGAAUGUGGCUUGAGGUUCCUUGAUGCCCUCCUCUGUUCCAGCCACCUGUUUUGUGCCCAUGGCAACCACCAUGGAUACCAUUACCAACACUAGACAAGAUUCCAAGAGAAGUUUAGAGAGUACGCACCAGAGCAGUGUAGCCACUGAUGAAAUGGUACAUGGUCUGAGGCAGAGUGAGCUUGCUGACGGGUGGGAGAACGCCGAAAGCAUCACAUGCCAAGAGGAUGACGUUCUUCGGGUGCGGACCAACACAUGGUAACUUCGCAUUAGGUAUGUACUCGAUUGGAUAAGCAGCUCGGGUGUUCUCUGCAACAGCACCAGUAAUUCCAUCAAACAGUUUCCGGGCAUGUAAGGAACCUAUCCAAAUUCAUGCAUGCAGGAAGUCCGCUUUAAGAACAGUACCUGUGACGGAUUUGUCUGAAUAAUCUACUUCCCGUGUGUGCUCAUCGAAUACCACAUUUUCCAAUACUGCAAAUGCAAAACGAUUGCAAGAAUGAUACGCCAUCCAAAUCAAAAUGUAGGGCUAGAUUCGGAUGUUCACCUGUUCCAAACUUAAUGGCAUUCCAGAUAUCAGGUUCCUUCUCCAUUGAUAGGUCGAUGCAUUUUGCAUAGCAACCACCUUCGAUAUUUGAAAUGCCAUUCUCACUCCAACAGUGCUCAUCGUCACCAAUGAGCAGCCUGUUACGAUCCGUGGAUAGAGUGGUCUUCCCGGUGCCUAAAAAACAAUGAACAGACCAUGGAAAUGAGAAUUCAGGGAGUAGUGACGGGCAGGUGGCGGCACCACGUUUGACGAGCCCGAUCUUACCCGAGAGUCCAAAGAAGAGGGCAACAUCACCGUCUUUGCCCAUAUUGCAGCCGGAAUGCAGGGAGAGGAUCUGUCUCUUAGGCAUGAGAUAGUGCAUCAGACUGAACAAACCCUUCUUCAUCUCCCCGGCAUACUGUGUGCCGAGGAUAACCAUUUCCUUCCUGGCAAGGUUAAUGUCAAUGCUGGUCGAGGAGGUCAUGUAGUGCGUGUACCGAUUACACGGAAACUGUCCGGCAUUGUAAAUUGUGAAGUCCGGAGUUCCAAAGGUCUCGACUUCCUCGGGCGUCGGUCGGAUGCACCUGCCAUCCAUUCAUCCAUCCAGUCAUGGCACGUAGAAUUGGCUAUGCUACACAAAAAUUUCAUGCUUUCAAUGGUCUUCCGAAGCUACAGGAGCUGCACCUAUUUGUCAUCAUCCACUCCGACCGAUACUAAUAGAUCAAAAACCAUACAAGGAUGACUUCGAGCAUUGCAGACGACAACUGCAGACUAAUAUUCUUACUGUCACUUCUACUUACAUGUUGUGCAUGAACAAGGAAUGGUAGGCUCUUGCGGAGACGAUUCGAACUUUGAUCUGAUGCUCAGGAUCCCAGUUGAGAAAUUGAUCGUUCACAAAAACCUGUAUGAGGUAAAUGACAAGCUAAAUCCCCAAGGCAAAUUGCAAAUUGGAUGAAAGAAAUCGGCAUAGUAGUGGCGUUAAAUUGUCUCGAGAGUGACUCUUACCUUGUCCAGAGAGUUCAGGUAAUCAACUGCCCUCUCCCUGUUCACCAUGAAAGUCUGCUCAUCCAUCUCAAUGUUAGGUGAGCCCCUGCGUACGAUGAACGAUUCAAGGAGGAGGAUUCGCCAAACACAUAGUACGGCACACAAAUCUUACAACACAGGAUGUGUUGGGAGACUUACUUUCCCCACCACAACUCCUCAGCGGUUGUCUCAUCAUUGACGAUGCGUUUGUCCCUCGGAGAACGACCUGUUUUGGCACCCGAUAAGGUGGCCAAAGCCCCUGUCGAGGUUAUGAACGAUCCCUUCUCGUAUCUUAUGGCCUGCUCGUACAGCUCUGCAUCAUUGUAAUGGCCACUGCUAGUGUUAUUGUGCAUGCCAUGAGGAAAGAGAACUGUGGUCUUAAUGGUGUAGCGACGGCAACGAUGUGUGGUAAUUGAAGCUAUCACGAGGCGGCGUACCGGCAGGGGAGAGAUUGUGGAGGACGUGGGUGAACUUGAGAGAGCUGUCACUGACGCUGAUGCUUGGGGUGAAGUAGUGGUGGUGCACGGCGCCGCCCUUGGGCGCUUCCGCCUUCCUCGCCGGGUCACCCUUCACCACCUUCGGCCCCGUCUCCCGCGUCAGCGACGCCAACGACGCGCUGCCAUCAACAUCACAUCAAAUCGAGUUAGCACAGCGGCGAUCGCAAGGAGCGACACUACCGAACCAAGCCAUGGGCCACCGGAAUCCAGCAUCGUAUCUUUUGUCAGGAACACAAAUCUGACGGCGAAGAUUCUUUUCAUUUUUUGGCUAAUUGGACGGCGACGUUGGUAGAAGGAACGGGGAGGAGAGAUGGUGACCUGAUGGACUGGAGCCGGAGCUUGUGGCGCUCAUCCUCGGACACGGUGGCGAAGGCGGCGUUGCCUUGCAGCAGGCCGUCAUUCAUGGGGGUGCCGGGCAACGACCGCUUCUUCUGCAAGGAGUGGAGCUCGUCGAUGGUUUGCGCCUUAACGGGCAGCGCGCUGUCGUCGUGGCAGAUGCCAUCCUCCGCCUUCGUCUCGAUCCUCGCCAGCCCCUUCCCGCCGCCAUUAGCGUUCCCGAGUUCGCCUUUCUCCGCCAUUUCCCCCUCGUUUCUACCGAAAUCCAACUCUCAAUAUAUCAGCAAAACAGUGUAUGAUCUCAUCAGAGACAGCUUUAUAUACAUAAAUAAGCAAACGUUAUCGUCUCUAUAUCUUCUGGAACAUCGGCGCAUGAACUCAUCGAGUCAUCUCAUUCUCACCACCAAACGUUUCACUCGCAAACGAAGAAAAAGAAACAAAUACCUCAAGGCGAGCGAGCAACAGAAUAGAGAUGGUAACGAUGAAGAAGAAGAAGAAGAGGCACUAAGAGGAGAAGGAAACGGAAGGCACGACCAUGCAGUUCUCGUACACGAGCCUCACGAGAAGCUGUAAAGAAGAGAGGAACGAGUAAGAAGGCGAGCUACAGGGGGAGCCUUAUAAAGGCGCGCAUUGGGUCAUACGAACUUUCAUUCACCUUAUAAGAAUUCGAAGCAUGUGACGUGCAUCAGUACAAAUGGAAUAUUGUUCGUCAAGCCUUUACAAAGGGACCGUUCGACCCAUUCAAUGGCCACCGCUUCACCCGCGGCUGCGCGCAACCCUUCCGAUCCAUCCAUCAUACCUGUCCAUAUGUACGUAUCAGAUGGCACAGCACUCGAUUCGGUGGACAGUUCUCCGACGCAAAUCCAACCUCGGUGUAGGGGACGCUGCAUAGCGAAGGUGUGAGAGUCCAUCGGACCGUGGUGGUCGUGUCCACAUCAAUCAAUCUGUGGCUUCCACAUCGUCGACUGAGGUGAUGGAACGAGAACUGGAUACAAGCAUUUGGUAUUUCCGUACUUGAAUAUUAUUACGCUCUUUUGAGAGUUGAAUUUGAAAUCUUAUUCGUCAUGAGAUUUUGUAUGCUACCUAAGCAUUUUAUCAGAUUAGUACAAAAUAGUGAGAUUCUGUAUGCUAACUUAACUCCUAAGUAUUUUAUCAGAUUAGUACAAAAAAAUAUUCAUUGAACAUGGAAUCAAAAUGAAAAUCUUUAUAUAAUCCUAAUUAUAUACCUACUAAAAUUCUUUAAAGAGAUAUAACUGGGAUUGGGUUCAAGUAUUUGUAACAUCCACAUUGGAUUUGGAUUGAUAGGGAGAAUUAGGUAGGAAAUUUAUAGUGUCUUGGAGGAAGAAAUUAAGGAGAAGUACAUUGUCAUGCGAUGCCACAAUGGAGCUAAAACAUCAAGAUUUCGAUUCAUGCCUGAGAUGAAAUCUAAUAUCUCCAUACCAAGUGAUGUGUACACUUGAAUGUUUACAUGGAUGAAAACAACAGGAGCUUAAAGUGCGAAAUGAACAAAAGAAGAAGAAUGAAAAAGAAAACCUUUUAUUAUUUUUAAUCUAGAUUUUGAACCAAAGAGCUACCUUCCCUGCACAGAAUUGGCAAUCUGAGAUGACCUCUGUUAGCUCAAACAGAUGUUUCUUGUCAUAGAAACAUUAUGCUAGUGAAAUGCACUUGAUCAAAUUCAGAUGAAAAUUAGAGGGAAGAUAAAGGAUUGAUGAAUAUUUGACCGAGGAUCAAAUACUAUAAACAUGAUAAUGGCAAUCAUUUACCAUAACUGCACCUGCUAUGGAAUACAAAAUUGUCAAGUUUCAACUCCAGCAUUCCACAUUGGAGCACAUAUUUACACUAUAUUUUGAAUCUUUGAUAUCAUUGUUGAGGUACUUGAACAAGGUAUUUGAAAUUCUAUGACACAAAACAUUCUGGGAGCCAACAUUUUUGUCAUACUAUUUUCUUGUUAAAUGGUAAGACUAAGAACUGAUCAGCCGACAACAGAUUAACAGUGGAGAAUUUUUCUCUCUUUUUUUUUUUAUCAAACACAACUAACAAUGAAAAUGGCUGCUUACAGAGGGCAGACAUGAAAUCUGCACCAGAAUCCACUAAAAUGAUAGCUUUUCUAUGAUUAAUCUGUACAUAUAACGGUAUAUAUACCUUCCACAACAAGCAGUUACCAAUCACAGAACUGCCAAUCCGUCCUUGAGCGGCUGCCAUGAAUGAAAGUUUAUUUGUGUUAUAGCCCGCACCCACCACUGUCCUAUUGGAAGAAGCAGUACAGAAAAAUAAAUUGAGGUGCCUGCCAUAAACAAAGAGUAUGAUAUAAUUAACUAACAAAACUAAGCCAUUUUGUUCAGACAUCAAGAAAUAGUAUUGUGCUUAUAAUUUUGGUGGUCGCGUCUGAUAGGUCAAAGUAAUUUCAAGCAAAAUGUUGUGCAAAGUUCAACUAGCAUAACAAUAAAGUGUGUGUCAAAAUAGUUCAUGAAGGAUUUAGGAAUGCAACCUCAACAAAAAUUUAAAGCUGUAAAAAAAAAAAAGAAAUAUUCAUAUCUUAUUUCAUCUUUGAAGGUGUUGUGCUAUUUCUACCGAAAGCUGAUACAUGACAAGAUAAAUGAAUAUGAAUUUAAAGAACCGUCAGGAAUUAACAAUUUAAAACGAUUGACAUAAGAUCAAGAUUAUACCUGAAUCAUAUACCUUCAUCAUAGUCCAUUAUAAAGCCUAAGUACCUUUGGCAGCAGGGUAUCUAUAGCCUAGGUAGUCACCUGGCCUCCUAGAUGAGCAACUUAGACCUUUAUAUUGUCAAUCUUUUCUCAAAAUUCUAAAUUUUCCAAUAAAUUGAGAUUUUAAUGUAUUUAGAGGAUAAAAAUUACUGAACAAAACCACAACCUUCUCUAACUUAUGUUUCUUCAACUAUGACAAGAUGUUGCUUGCUUUCAGUAAAACAGAUCUCCCUCGUUCAAGUCUAUGUACUUGAUCACUUGUCACUAUGGGUUCUUGUUAAUUGCUCGACCACCUAUAGGUGUGGGCAAUGCCAAAGGCAUCUUGGCAGCAUAGGCCAUGCUGUAGAUUGCAUAAAAGUGCAUUCUGCUGGUGCCAAGAACAUGGCGGUGUAACAGGAAGUAAAAUUUCAACCUACAUACUAUUAUUGCAAUGGACAAGCAAAUUUAUAUGAUAUACAUGUCUAUAGGCAAUCAUAGACAAGAAUCACUAGAUAUAUCGACAUACCAAUAUAUAUAUAUUAUGUAUAUAUGUAUAUAUAUAUAUAUAUAUAUAUAUAUAUAUAUAUAUAUAUAUAUAUUAUGUAUGUAUAUAUAUGUAUAUGUAUAUAAAUAUAUAUAGGUAUACAUACAUACAUACAUACAUAUACAUAUAUACAUACAUAUAUACAUACAUAUACAUAUAUACAUAUAUAUAUAUAUAUACAUAUAUAUAUAUAUAUAUACAUACAUAUAUAUAUAUACAAACACGUAAACAAAAGGGUUUUUCAAAUGGCUAAACCUAUCUUUCUAUGCAUACAGAUCUCUUUUAAAAAGAUAUCCACGCCAUUCCAUGCACAAAUGCACAGGACCAAUAACAACAUAAAAGUCAGAAUAAACCAUGUUGAGGUACCUUGUGAAGGUUGCAGAUUCUAUGUCAAACGAACAAUAGCAUCAAGGUUCCUAGAUAACUGCCACCCUUCAGGAUAAGCAAAAUUUCUAGCUUCUUCAUGGAGAUGCCAGUUCAUGAUCCUUGAACAACCAUUUGGUAAGCCUUCCAUUUGACUUUCAUCCUCUACUAUCUGCUCUACAAAUGCACUCUCCUGCAAAAAAUGACAAUUUACUGUUCAAAAUUUCAAAAUUAUAAUCAAAAGUAAGAUUUGUCAUUAAAAACAUACAAAAGAAUUUUUUCAUGCAAGUAUGCCAUCAGUAUUUUUUAUUUCUAAAGGAUGGAAAAAAGAUCAAGAUCUAAAACAACGCAAACUAGGGGACCAUAUAGCUCACUAGAUCCACCUGAUGGUACUUGAGAAAUGAUAGAGAAAUGGAACUGUGUUGUUAAGAUGUACAUCUAAACUCAAAUCCUACAAAGUGCUGUUCAAUUGUUAAAACUUGGAAAAUGUUUAAGCUCAAUUGUAAACCCUUCAUAAAGAAACAGGGACUUUGUGUUGCUAGGUCAAAUAUUGCAAGAAAUGAAUUUUGAUGUUAAAUAUGCAAAUAGUUAAUACAGAGAAGCAAAAUAUAUAUAUAUAUAUAUAUAUAUAUAUAUAUAUAUAUAUAUAUAUAUAUAUAUAUUUAUUUAUUUAUUUAUUUAUAGGGAAAAGAUCACCUUAUCCGCCUUUGUGUAGGCCCAUUUUCUCCAAGCCCAAUUGUGUUACAAUUUGUAUCACUGACCCCACUUAAAAGAUACUUCACCAACAAACUAGUCUUUCCUUACCCAUAUGCCAAGUGACGACUAUAUGUUACAUUGUGAUAAUGAAAGGAGUCGAUGUCACUAAUAUGGUGCAAUGAUGGGCAUCCAAAUAGCAUGACAAUGAUGUUGGUGCACAAGUGGCACUUAUGUAGCAUCCAUUGGGCUUAAAAGCUAUUUUCUUAUGUUGACAUGGUUGAAGAAGAUACAACAAGAAGAUGUCAACCUUGUUUAUUUGCUUGUGAGGUGAUAAAAUAUUUAAGGUCAAACUAUCAAAAGAACUUCCUCCUCUAUACUAUUAUCAAACAAAUAACAAAAAUAGACAAGACAUUCUGGUGCACCCAGACUCAUGCAGUGAAGGGAUGAGAUGGUGCAAAUGAGUCUAGGUCCAUACAGAUAAUUCAGUGGACUACUGGAAAAUUGCUUAUCUAUAGUUUCAUUUAUAAAAUUGAACUAUCAUUCAUUCUUCUGUCAUUUCUGCUAUAGUUUGUAGUUUGGAUCACCAAGAUUAUACUAGAAGUCAAAACUGUGUACCUGAAAAUCCUCCUCCACGGUGUCUAGUUGCCGAAUGGCAUCUGAGUUUGAACGAUGCCAUCUCUCGUGAUCCCAAAGCAUUGUGCUGUUGAAUGCAAAUCCAGACAUAUCAACAUGAAAUCUGCUAUGUCUCCUGCUCUUCUCAUUAGUAUGCCAGCCAAUUAUUUGACUUCCAUUGCAUACUGGCCCUUCUAUUAUUACAUUAUUUUUGCUUUGAGCAAGCAUAGCAACAGGCCAAACACCAAAUCUCCUAAAAAAUACAAAUAGAUCAGUUGUGUAAUAAUAACUUGUUAACUUACUUGUUGAGGAAUGACAAAUUUCUAAAUGUAUCAUUUAAAAAAAUUUAGUCAGCUUUAUGAGAUAAAAUAGGCAAAUAUACAAUCCAUUUCCAAAUAUAAAAGUCCUACCAAAAUUGAUUUUUUUAUCGGUGUUCAGGUGGAGAACUUGCAUAAUUGCAUAUGAGUUUGCUCUUGAGCCUAAGAAAAAAUAUAUAUAAUUGAUUUGAACACCAAUAUAAUGAAACCGAUUGCCUCAAGGAUCUAGAGAGACCUUGAGUAAAUGUAGGUAGGUUCUGCUGAACCACUAAUGUUUCUGGUAAGCACUAGUUCAUCCCCCUUUUAGUGGAUGGACAAUCUAAUGUAUUCAUGAUUACUCAACUUAAUUCGCUAAUCAUUGUGUAAUGUCAUUAAUUCACAAAAUAUAUAAAGAAUAUCCUCCAUUCAAGAGGGAAUUCUUUCUUGAUAAACAUAUGCUACUAAUAGUUUUCGUUUUUACUGUUUCAGCCCAACAGCUACACAUGACAAGGACAUAAAGUUAUGGCAAUGGUAAAGCAAUAACCUUAAGGAAUUAAUGUCAGGCAGUUCGAUUCUGUAUUAGCACUAUAGACAAGGUAGCAAGACUCCAAGAAUACUAUCAUUCAGUACCUGAUGUCCCUCAGGUGCUGGAACAGCUCGAGCGAGUAGAUGUUGCUCUCGACCGCAAAGUACACGAUACCAUCCAGACGAUGCCGCUCGAUGUGCUCCAGCGCAGCGUUCCGCUGGUGGACGCCCCUGUCCCUGCUGUAGGUCGAGUUUUUCUUGCAGGCAGCGAGAUGUCUGUACAUGACACCACUGCGCCUGAGGAUCUCCGCCGUCUCCACGGAGGUUGCAUUCAUUUCCACGACGAUCCAGAGCAGGGGCGGCGACACCAGCCGCAGCGUCUGGCCCAUCCGGAUCAGGUAGUAUCUCUGAAAAGCUCUGUUGUACGUGGGCGUCACCACGAUCAGCAGCUUCCUCUCCCGCGAGCGAUCCUCCGGGAUGUCGUUCGGCGGCGGCACGUCGCCGUCGUUAUCGGAACGUAAGACCUCGAUCUCCCUGCCGCCGGAGCGGAUGUUGACGGCUCCGAGAUCCCGGCGUGGAAUGUUAUCGUUACCGGCGGUUGCCACGGCGGCGGCGGUGGUUAAGAUUGAGGAAGAGGAAGCGAAGGAGAGGUGGUGCGGCCGGAAGCCAAAGUCGUCGAGCUGCGCCAAGGGAUAAAGGCCGAUAAAGAAGCCGAAGGCGAAGAAGAGGAGCAACCGAAGGAGUUGUCUCCUCCUCCUCUUCCUCCUCCAUGAACUAUGGUGAUGUUGCAGCUGGCCGCGCGAGAAGAAAGGGACGGAAGAAGACGACGACAGAGCAGAAGAGGAAAGGGAUUGGUGCUGGGUAGUGUUAUGGCAACAAAGGGAAUGAUUGCGGAAGGACCGAUCGAUGAUGUUGGCCGCCAAUAGCGUUCGACGGAUCGACGCCAUGUCUCGGAAGCAUCAAGAAAGCAAGCAAUCGAUCGAUUAACCAACGGCGAUGAGAUGCCAAGGGGAUGGCCAAGGAAGAACGGGCGGAGGAGGAGGAGGGUUUGGGCGGCCACGAGAGUGGCUGGGUUUCUCCUCGAACUGCGUUCUUAUCGUCGUCGUCGAUCGUUAAAUUUGAUUUGAUUUGAUUUGAGUCCUCACUCACGGAAAUUAACCCACGUCUUGUACCAACCGUCGGACCCAAACGCUUCUCUCUCACGACACUGGCCCCGCACAAGCUCAUGUCAAUCUCACCCGGGUACGACAAGUUAGUAUGAGAAAAAAAAAACUCCGAUUCCGCCGACUCACAAAUCUACCUCACUUGUGAUUGGAUAGCAGUGAUCUCAAGUUAUGCCAUCUCAUCGUCGAGGCGUCGGCAGUAGGUUCCAAGGAGAGGGAAGUCGUUGGCGAAGUCGCGUUCCCUCGCCCAGCUAACUUCCCGGCCGCCUUCUCUUUGGUUGGACUCGGACGACUUCAAAGCGUCGGUUUCGUAUCGAAGCCUUCCGCUUGGGUACAACCACCGGACGAGCCACAUAUGUCAUGUCUGGUCUUUGUUUUCCAUGAUCAACGGAGUUGGUAGUAGAGUUGUUCUUGUUUUCCUUUUAGCUAUCAACAUUUUUUGAAUAUAUGUAUUAUAAUUUAGUUGAUUUUUUUUUCUAAGAUGUUAACUAUCUUUCUCAUAACUAUGGGGAUGAUACGAUGUGAAGAACUAUCGACACCUCGUAAUUGAUCGAUACCUUAUCAUCGUAUGAACGACGUUUCAAUGUUAUUCAAAGACACGACGAUUAUAACUAUACAAAGUCGAUUACAUACGAAGUUGAUCUAAUCAAACAUAAUCUUUUAGUCACGACCUUAAAUGAUACGUUCAAGACUCGUAGAACUUAGUUUUGGCGGAACGUGCAAGAAAUUCAAUGCAGCCAAUCUGAUGAGAGAAUUUUCUUGGAAUUUGUGAUUAGUUAUGAGUAAAUGUUCACAUCAUUAAGGUACAAUCUGGAUCAAUCAUUGCGAAUGCAAUAAAAUAGACUCAUCUUGAUCGGCUGUUUCCACCCAAACCAUGGUGUUCUGGUCCAAUUAAAUAUGACCAGAUAGCUAUUUAGGCUUCACUUGAUGAGUUAAGAAAUCUUUAGGUAGGAUUAGGUUUGUGUCAAUCUUGAUGAGUUAAGGAGCUAAUGAGCUAACGUAGGAAGGCAUUUAGAGAACACCAUUGUCAAACUAUUUGGGCAGGUUUGACUACAAAGUAUGUGUUGGAGCAGAAUUGGGGUCUUAUUGUUGACUGGAAUUCGAGUCUAAGAGAGAAUUAAGAUCAAAUUUUAGGCAUUUGUCGGACUCGAGUGUGAAUUGGACUCGUAUUUUCUUUGCUUGUAAUAUAUAGAUGUUGAAAUGUGGAAGUGACAUGUUAGGCCAACGUAGACUUACCACGUAACAGGCUUGAUAGGGAAAUAUGUUGAUGAUUGACUUAGAAUACUUAAUCAGUUGGAUUUGGUUUCGGUCUGAUUGUGUUAGGAACCUACAAAUUCAUUUAAAGUGUUUUGUGGUGUUCGAUGUGAUACCAACCUAUAUUAAAAUUAAUGUUGAGCAAAGUUGAUCUUUCUAAUGGGUAAGGUGGGUUCCUAAUGAUAAGAAGGAUCUAGAGAUGUCGAUUGUGUCUACAAGUAUCAGGAUAUGUAUCUAAUGGGGUGGGAAUAAGGGAAAUAAAUGGAUAUAUGAUAGAAGAUGAAGCUUGUAUGAAUAUGGGAUGAGGACGGAUAGAGCGCUCUUCACCUCGUCCCUGUACUAAGACAUUAGACCUGAACACCUAGCCAACCUAAUCAAAAUUAGAUUGGCUUGAGCCUAAGUUGAGUUGAUCGUAAGAUAAUUACAAGUUAUUUAAUUCGAUUGAACUAAAUUAAAUAAUAUCCAUAUUCAGUAAUAUCCUACUCCCUCACAACCUACAUAUCGGGGAAUUGAUUAAAUAUUUAACCAUUGUUAUUAUUUAUAAAUUUUGAUAGUAUUUUUUUUUCUAAAAUUGAAUAGAUUGAUUAGGAGAGUAUGGAGAACUCACAAGUUUUCCUCUUUUGGUUUGUAUAUAUAUGAGGAAUAAGGUAAGGAUAAGAGAUGACAUGGAGACGGAAAUAGAGGAAGUACUCUAUAUCUUGUUGACAUCCGUGGGAGGAUCAGACUUUAAUAGUUACUAGGAAAAAUAUUUCGUAUAGUAGAUAUAUUAUCUAAAUAGUUUUUUAUUUGACAAACGCUAAUGUGAUUGGAUCGACGAUUUAAGACCUUUUUCUUAGUGAAUAUUAUCAAUACUAUAUUGAGUGGAAUCACAGCCAAAAAGAAUUAUCAACUAACUCAUUGGAUUCCUUAAGAUUCAUCCCUUUCAUAUCAUUUUUUUUAUAGUUUAGCUUCAUUAAGGAGCAAAAAGUCCCUUUUUGGUAUAAGAACAAUAUGAAAUAUGAGUGAUCGUUAUUAUCAUUAAAGUGCAACGAUCCGAUGAAACAAGGUAGGGGUGCUACUUAGCAGCCUUAGGAUCCUCCUGUAUGAAAUGAGAAAGUAAGAUAGGAAAUUUACCUUUAAAGAUGUCCUCUUUAGAGAAGAAUGCUUGAUCCAAGUUGUUGGAUAAAUUAUGUAUUUGUUAUUUUAUUUUAUUAGAGUUGGAUUCUGAUCAUCUCAUAUAUCGAGCCCACCUACGUCCAUUUGUUAAAAUGUCAUAAGUGGAGUAUCGAAUUUGGGAGGAGUUUUAAAUAUAUAUUCUCAAUAACUACAUCGAUGAUGAUGUACUCAAUAAAAGUUCCUCCGAUACUUAAGUGAAUAUCCAAAGAAACUGAUUCAAACGAUAAAAGAGUCAAACUUAAGAAAAACGAGUUAUGUAUAUAGUAGCAUACAUGAGUAUUUUUAUAGUGAAUUUUUGAAACUCAUAAGAGGAUAUAUGGUGAGUUAACGAGAAAAAGUCAUAUAAAAUAAUUAUUGAACAUAUAUUAAGUUCGACUAAUCAUGCAUCCAAGUAAUUAUUGAGCUAGACAUGAUCUAGUCAUCAUUGUAUUAAUGGUAGUAUGGCUCACUUUCGAGUUUCAUUUAUCGAUAUGUUAUUUUUAUUUUUAUGUCAUAUAUUGGAUUACUUUUGAGCUAAGCUAUAGCAAUUAUUUGAUCCAACAAUCGUAGAUGACUUUGACAUGUUCUAAGCACAUAAAAGGCUACACGUUGAUGCUAUCUACGAUUGUAGAUGAUAAAUAUAAGGUCAUCUUUGAUGGUGUAUCAAAGUGUUAUAAUCGAUCAUUAAAGGUUCCACAUGUUCAGCUGUUAGUGAAGAUAGUUUGUGAUUUGCUUGUGCCCUCAAGUCAACAUUUACGCGUUGCAUAUGGGGUCACAGAGUUAGGCUUUGAAUCAUCUCAUCCAUCAAAAGAGGAAGAAGAAUGCAAGUUGAUUACUGUAAGAGGCAAAGUGAUCCUCAUGUCAAUUGGCUAUUAUGUCGCUUAGUAUGUUGCUGAGGACAUUGUCGAAAAUGGUCCCUCGUAAAUAAUAUCCAAUAUAUUAUUUUUAUUUUAGCAUACGAAAGAUAACAACAAAAUUGUAGUCAAUGAUGUUUACCCAACUCUAUCAAAAGAAUAAAAGACAGAGAGAGAGAGAGAGAGAGAGAGGAUUUAAAUCGAAUACUAUAUAGAAUUUCAAUUAAUAGUCGGAUGAUAGUAAGAUGACAGAGAUUAAUCACAAACGACAUAUAUGAGUUGUCCGAUUUUAGAGGGCUUUUUAGAGGGAUAAAUAACUUGUUUUGCAUUAAGUGCAGGCUAUCGAUUAAUGGCAUGUCUCAAAGCCCAAUUGGCCCAAUUAUCUAAUCGAUUUAUUUUGCUCCCAAAUGAGUAAGGAUCAAUUUUGCAGAGACUUGAUCAGUGUUGAAUGCAAUUUAGUCUUCUCAAUAGGUUUGAGAGAGAUAUAAGCAUCAACAGUAGAAAAAUUUCCAUACACAAGUGCCCAUACGACAUAAGACUACAAAGCAUGCGACGAACAAACCCUAGACACUUUGUCGUGAUGAAAGUUUGUAUGAUAUUUGCUCGUCACCAAUCAAUAUUCUUUCUAUACAAGUCGAAACUAUGAAAAGAUUGACCAUUUGUGAACAUGUCCGUGACAUUUGGUAUGUUCAUGUUUUGCAUAAUAUGUAGAUGGAUGGUCAAAGGUUUAAUAGUCCUAUUCUACUGGGGUUUGAUGGUCGCUUUAGGCUUGUAAAUAAAGAUAGUGUCACGUGAAUACUUGUGAGAGAUUUUCGGUCUGUAGUAAAUCAUUUUAACUUUUUUUUGUAUAACUGUUUAGAAUUUGUACAGUCUGUUUGUAAUUUGCAUUGUCUAUGAAGUGUUUUCGAAAAUAUUUGUUUGUGGAUCCUGAGUUAGGCAUUUCUCUAACUCGUUUUCUCUUUUAUAGAUCCUAAUGAAUCAUGGGAGGUUGACCUUUGAAGACGAACACGCAAGGGUGCCGCACGACUUAGCCUAAAUCAGUUAAGUCCAUGACAAUCGCAAGGAUAUUUUAGUAGAUAUUAUAGUUAAACUAAUAACUGUCACUCACUCCAUCCUUCUCUCUCAUCAUUGGUGUCGUUAAAUAAAUUGUUCGCAUAUGAUUGGGGUGGUGGUUAAAGAUAGGUAGCAGUCAGAAGUAGCAGCAGCAGCUCAUGGCUUGCAUGUCACUUAAUAUAAUCCACAAACGCAUCGCCACUGAUCUCCCUGUCUGCUUGUCUUCCUCCAUGGCUUCCCUCGAGCAAAUCAUUCACCUCAUCCAUGUGAUACCGCAACGUAUAAUAAUGGUACGAUUCCUGCAUUCAACUUCACACGACUGAUCCGAUGGAGGAAUGUGCUGCUGCUUCUGUGUCUACGUAUCUUCAUCCAUGUAGCAAUACUAAAGGUAAUGGGAUCAGGAAACCCUAGAUCGAUUUGAAGAAGAUGAAGGAAGAAGAAACCAGUAGAGUCUCGCAUGGCAUGGCUUCCCUUCCCCACGAAGCAAACUACGAGACCUGUAUCCCUACUUUCUCAGUAAAACGAUGAACCACGAUGUAUCACCCGUCCGACGAAAUGCUGCUAAGGAGGUGGGUUUCCACAUGGUAGACUCGUGCAUCAAAACCAUGCUUCCGGUGGUCAAACUGGAUCCGGCAAAGCUUGUGGUUGAAGGCAAGACGCUCUCUCUCUCUCUCACACACAUAUACAUGUAUAUAUUAGUUUCUUCAAGAAGGAUCUGCAACGCCAUGUGGGAGAUGUCUGCAGGUUGAUUUCUCAUGUGCGUCGCCCAAGUGUUGGACGAGACCAUGUUCGCUCAAGUGCGUGCUGCCUGCCGGUAAUUAAAGCUUGAUGAGUUUGACUCACAGUAGAGAUUCUGUCGGCGCCACUCGCAUGUGACGACCUACGUACGGUGUUCAUGAACUGAGAUGAGACGUACCAGUCGUUCUUCCCUGGACUGAGUUCUUGUGAUUGAAUGAACUCUCUCUCACAAAAAGAAAGAAGAAGAAGAAGAAGAAGAAGAAGAAGAAGAAAUAUGUCUAUGCCUUUUCUUAGUUUCGAAAAUUUGCUCAUAUGAUGACGAUCUCUAACUCUUCCAUAUAAUUCCCAGCCAUAUCUGUCUUUUAUCGUGUCGCUCUCUUUGUUGUCUUCGGAGUGCAAUCUAUCACUGCAAUUGGAUUGCAAACCGACUUUGCUAUUACGUGGAUUUCCGACGACCGGUUGUUGUCGGAGACAAGACUUGCCCAUAUAAUUAAUUUCUGUCAUGUUCCUCGUUUCUUUAUUUCCUUUUCCCAUCAAUUUCAAUGUGGAAAAGAAAGUGUCCAAUUGAUGCUCACUUCGAAAUUGACAUAAUUCACAACUAUUUGGAGUUAUUUUUUAUAUUGUUUUCAUGUUUCCCAUAUGUAUGAAAAAUAAUCGUAAAUGAUCGUAGGAUCUCGAACAUCCGAUUGAUUUUUCGAUAUAAUUCUUUCGACACUCAAAUUAAUAAUGAAAUAAAAAAAAAUUAAAUAAAAUAAUAACUAACCUUAAUUAUUAUAAUUUGAUAUUUUUUAUAAAUAAUUUAAUAAAAAAAAUUCUAAGUUAUAAACAAAAUAUUUGAAUAAAAUUUUAUAUUUGAUCGAUAUCUAUAUGAUUCAAUCAUUGAUCGGAUCCCUGACUAGAUUACCACAUGUCCAACCUUAAUUUACUGAAUAUUUUUCUAUCACAAAUCAAUCAUAUUAUAUGAGCUGUUCCCUAUCAUAAUAUUUUGUUAUAUUUUUUGGGAAAAAAAAUCACUGUUUAUGACAAGACAAAUGUGGUGUAAGAUAGGAGAGAUAUUGACACGUCAUCUUCCGACCUGAGGAUACGUAAACACUUGUGUGGUGAGAAUGUGAUUCAUAUAUGUUUUGUUUUCCGUGAAGACGACUUGCACUGCCAUUUCAGCCAAACGCACGUCAUCGUUACUGUUACGUUACAGAUCACAUCAUCGUCAUCAUCAUCGAGCCACGUAUUAAUCGACCCAUACUGCACGCUUUCCGAUGUGAUUUAGAGAGCGAGGGAUGUCAAACCAGCAGUCUGAUGAAGGCAUAUUCCGAUGACUGCAUCAAGUGAUGCUUUAGGCGAUAAUAGCAAUACUAAUACUAAUAAUAAUGACGAUAGUUCAGGGGAACGUGGCAGCCGGGUGGCGCGCCUCCAAAGGCAGCCGCGUGUCCACAGUGGCGCAAUGGCGACGAGAGAGAGAGAGAGAGAGGGACGUUUGGGCACAUCAACUGCGGCAUCCCACGUCGACUUCCACCUGUCCUUGGAGAUUCGGGUUCCGCACACCGCCACCGAUUCGUAAGUGGGAGUAUCUUUUCGUCUCGGCAUGCCGACGGAAGUGACCGCUCCGCGGUAGCGUGUGGGACCCGAGCGCGUCACGAGCGAGGCUUUGGCCACCGUGCCCCGGGUCCCGCACGGGGGCCCACGUAUGAGACGAAUGACCCAGCUCGUUUGGCAAAUAGGUUUUUCCGCGCGUCUCCUUUCGAUUUUUACGUUGACCCUCGAAAUUUUGACCGCGGAAGCCGCCUCUCUCGCUCUCUCUCCCCGGCGGUGAUUAAAUGCUGCUGUGCUGCAAAUUAGCAGCGGCAGACCUGCGCGAGUCCUUCCAUUGGACGAGUGCGGGCGGUGUUAAUGGUGGGGGUGUGCGUCAGACUGAGAAGACCUUAUUUUUGGUUCUACUCCCAAAAGAGACCUGGACAGGGCGUCGUCGCACGGAAAGGACGAAGAAGUCCAUUAAAGUAGCAAAGCUAUGAAGAGGAAUGGAGCGGUUGGACGGCGAGCAGAGAGGAGACAGAAAAGAACGGUUGCCUUUCUUUCUUCCUUUUUCUUUAUUUUAUUUUAUUUUUUCAAGUACAAAAGAUCAAUUAUAUUAAGUUGUAAAGUUUUAUGCAUGUAUCCGUAUAGUUUUAUUCUUUGAAAGUUUAUGAACUCUAAAAAAUUUAUUUAAGAAUAAAAAUAAUCUUAUAGACUUAUGAGUCCUUGACUAAAUAUUUUUAUCAGCGCUCUUUCCCAUAUAAGAGCUAAGGGCUCAAGGACCUUCUUUUAGCGCUAAUAUGAUAAAUUUAUUUGAUCGAUUCGUCAUUAGUGAUAGAAAUAAAAUAGAAAGAAAGAAGAUUGUAUUGAUGAAACUUUAUUGAAGAAAAAGAAACUUUAGUAUCACUACUGCUGCAACUGCUGCAACAAAGACACUUCUCACUCGAGCGAGAUGCGAAAACGAGGAGAGAUCGCUGGUCGGGGAGCAGUUGUGAGGUCACAUUGGCUCUGCCUUUGCAGGAAGAGGCAGAGGAAGGGCGACAAUAAAGAAUGCCGUCGGUGCAGGGAGAAGAAGAGGGAGGAGAAGAAAGCGUGAUGUGAUGGCCCUUGUUCAGCUUCGAAGGAGGCCGACGUAAUGAUCCUGGAGGACGUCUGUGGAAAACAUUGCACUACUUUGAGAUGGAGUCACGAUCCACGAGGCAGUAGGAGAAGGAGCCGAGAUUCGAUGGAGUCCAAUAGGGAGAUGGGUCGAGAUGUUUAGAAGUGGCCUUUACCACGAGAGCGCGAGAGCUCUGAUACUAUGAUAGAAAUGAAAUAAAAAGAAGAAGAUUAUAUUGAUGAAGUUUUAGUGAAAAAGAAGAAACUUUAGCUUGAAUGUAUUAACAUGCCACUCUCCUAUUUAUACAUAUUAGAAUAGAGGAUGCUAUCAAUUGGUACUGUCCGCAAGCUUGUGAAAAUUUAUUCACUUUGAGUAAUAGGCAUACCCGUAUAAUUUUAUCCCAUUAAAGCUACUAAACUUCAAAAUGUAUCUUUCAAAAUAAGAAUGACCCGAUAGACUUACGAGCCAUUGAUUCUCCUAUUUCUUAAUCAAUAUUGACUAAAUAUCUUAACGAUUAAAAAACUAUCAACUAAACUGAAUUGCCACCCAGCACAAUGAGAUAUUAGUGAAUCAUGAUCAAAUUUUACAAAAUCAAUCGGUACAUCUUUUAUUUUAUCAAGAAUUAAACGACGAGAUAAGUGAUUCGAAAGAAUUCCAAAAGAGUAGAGAGUUAGAUAUUACCUGUGCCAGGGGGAAAUAGUCAUGGGAGAAGGCUUUCCUUGCGGAUCAAAUGGACGAGAAGCAGGGGGUGUUUGUUCUCACCAUCUCACCAUCAAUGCUAAUGCUAGCAGGAGCCGUCGAAGGAUCGAAGGGACUCGCCUUUGCUAUUGGAACAUGGGCGGGCAACGGGGGCCAUCGACGAGCGUCCGUCAACCUUCGCCCCGUUAUUCACCUCCGUUUAUAGUGAAAUCGAUGUAGGAGAAGGAUGUUCGUCCAUGUCUUUACGACCCAAUUAUAUGUGGGGGAAUUGGAGUUGAUCUACAAAGAAGAAGGGUUGCUUAAGGACAGAUUGGAGAGGGAAAGUUUGCGGGGGGCGAGGUGGCGUCUGAUAGAUAGAUGCACUGUUGACUUUGAGAUCCAAACUCGUCUCGAUGCAGGAGCAAUUGUUACCGUCCGCAGUGAUGCCGAGCGCUUUUCUUAUCGUUCUUUUGGGGAGCUGUGUUUGACGCAGCAGAUACAAGUAGCUUUCCGGGAUCCAGAAACGCCUACUGCCUUUUUUACUCUGCAACGACAGUGCCUUCCUUAAGUGCAAAUCUUCGUAGGUCCCUCAGCUACCAUCUCCAGGUCUUGUCAGUCGAGGAAAGGAAAGAGAUUGGAGUGGUUUGGCUCCGGAGGGUGAGACGGGUGGCGGGGUGGUGAUUGAGAUCGUUGGUGUUGAUACCGGGAACUUUGUUUUAUUUGAUCUCCCGUUGCUUCUACUGCUGCUGUUUCUUUCUCAUGGAGAACGGCAGUCGAUGACGACGGUGAUGAUGAGGUGCUUGUGAGUGAUAAAUAGGCUUCGGAGAGAGGAAGCAAGGAAGCUGUGAGCGGAGGAAGGAAGCGAUGGGAACAGGAGGGUGGAAGAGAGCCUUCUGCACGUCGGUCCGUCGAGAUACGGAUGCUGCUGCGACGAGGACGAGGGUGGAAGCGGGGGAGAAGCAUCAGCGCAGCCCCAGGAGCUGCGCCAAGCUGAGCUUCUUCUCCGGCGGCGGCGGCAGCAACCCCUCGACGCCGAGGCUGGCGCUGGCGGAGGCGGCCCCGGGCCUCCGUUGCCGCACCAAGUCGAAGACUCCAGACAACAAGACGGUGCAAUGCGACGCGGCCACAUCUUCCGUCCCCACCGCCACCACUCCGAGGAGUCGGAGCCCCGCUCUGUUUCAUCGGCAGGCCUUCUCCGCGCCUUCGUCUCCGAGAACAGCCUCCAGAUUCGCCCUCUUCAAGCACCUCUCCCGGGUAUGGAAAAGCUUGCACCUUUACCUUUGAUUCCCGCUAUUUCGUUUCUUUUCAUCUCUUUCUUUUUAAUUUGGUCAAUGUUUCCUCCUCUCGAUUGCUGGAUCUCGUGAGAGAGUCGUAGCUUUUGGCCGUGGUGCGGCGCUUUGAUUGCAGAAUGAUGGAGGAAUGGACCGAACUCCCUCCCCAUCUUUUCCAAUCAUUUCAGCUGCUUUUUUUGUCUUUUUUUUCUCAGCCUUUUGUUAUGAUCGAAGCAUGUGAAGUAGUACUCUUAUUGUUGUCGUCGUCGUCGAAGGCUACUGUUUGUUCUCAUUCUGGUGGUGGUGGAACUGCAGAGCCGGUGCAGGAUAUGUUCGCUGAGCCUGAAGGCGAGCCAGGAGACGCCAGUCUUCACGGCGGAGUGCUCCCACGCCUUCCACUUUUCCUGUAUUGCCGCCCACGUCAGGAGCCACGCCAGCCUCGCCUGCCCCGUCUGCUCCGCCUCCUGGCGCCACGCGCCCUUUCUCUCCGCGCUCCGCCGCCGAGAAGACGAUGCACCCGAGCCAGGGGCGGCGGGAGAGACGGAGAACUGGAACCCGAAUAGGAGAACUACCAACGGCGGCAGCCGGAACACCAGCAAAGGCGGGGAACGGCAGCUGGGGGAGAACAGAUUGGCUGCCGGCGCCGCCGCCGCCGUUGUUGCUGCUAAGGUCUAUGACGACGACGAGCCGCUGCUGGUUGUGUCGAAGCCCAACCAGGGAGGGGUGAUGCGAUUCAAUCCUAUACCAGAAGCAGCCAACGAGGACAAGGAUGAGGAAGACGGCGAGGACGAGGAGACGGAGGACGUGGAACGAGACGACGAGUUUUAUGGGCUCCUUGCGACCCCUCGCGCCCGAUCUGCCAGCCGCACUGACGGAGGAGUCCGUCGUCGGCCGACAUCGAGGUCCAGGGCUGGUGGCGGCCUUGUGAGCGUGAUGCCGCAGGCGGCCCUGCUCUCGGAAGGGCGGAGGCACCGAAGCUACGUGGUGGUUCUUAAGGUAAAAGCGCCACCGAUAGGAUCCUUCGCCCCUCUCCGCGCCCCGAUUGAUCUGGUGACAGUGCUGAACGUGAGCCAAGGCAUGACAGGGGAGAAGCUCCGGAUGCUGAAGCGCGCAAUGCGGCUGGUGGUUUUCUCUUUGGGCCCCGGGGACCGGCUCUCCAUAGUGGCCUUCUCGGCAGCCGCAGGUGCUAAGAGGCUCCUCCCUCUACGACGGAUGUCGAGGCAAGGCCAGCGCGCCGCCCGCCAGGUCGUGGAAAGGCUCGUCGUGGUGGGCGGUGGCGCCGCCGCGAGAGGCGCCAGCGUCAGCGACGCCCUCCGGAAGGCCACCAAAGUCCUCGAAGACCGCAGGGAGCGCAACCCGGUGGCCACCAUCAUGCUCCUAUCCGACUCCAGGCAGCAGCAACCGGAACAAGAGAAGAAGGGGAGCAACCAUCAUGAUUACAAACCCCUUCGCUCGCCGCGUGGUACCGGCGGUGGCCAUAUCGGGCUUCAUCCUCUAGCAACGACGACCGCCGCCACUCGCUUCGCGCAUCUGGAGAUCCCCAUCCAAGAUGCUGGAUUUGGAGACGGUGGAGCAGAACGACCGCCACAGAAACAGGGUCAGGUGCCAUCAGAAGACGCGUUCAUCAAGUGCGUGGGCGGCCUCGUGUCCGUGGUCAUGCAGGACGUCCGCCUCCAACUUGUCUUCCCGUCCGGCGAAUUUUCUGCCGUGCACCCGUGCGGAGGUGGCGGCGGUGGCUGCGAAGUGGCCCUCCGAGGAGGGACUUCUGUCAUCCGGUUGGGGGACCUCUAUGCAGAUGAGGAGAGGGAGCUGCUUGUGGAGCUGAGGUUGCCGGUUGCGCCGCCCGGCGGACAGGGCGGGCACCACCGCUUGUCAGUGAAGUGCAACUACAAGGAUCCAGCCACCCAAGAUCUCGCGUUCAGCGCGGAGCAGAUCCUUCUCUUGCCGCCCCUCCUCCAGCACCACUCCGAGCUCGGCCGUUCUGCCUCGUCCUCCGCCAGCCCGACCACUUCCCUGCGCCUACGGAACAUCUUCGUCUCGACCCGCGCGGUGGCGGAGUCGCGGCGCCUCGCCGACCUCUCGGAUUACGCCACGGCCCGACACCUCCUCUCCUCCGCUCGCGCGUUGAUUCUGCAGUCCGCUUCCGAUGGCCGCCAGGACCACCACCUCGUCCAGAACCUUGACGCGGAGCUCGCCGCCCUCCAGCGGCGGCGGUACCAGGCGCAACACCGGCUUCAUCAUGAUCAGCUGCAGGAAGAGGUCCUCUCGCCAUCCGGGAUGAGGCGCCGGCGGCGGGAAGCUCCGGCGGAGGUGCGAGGGGAGCCUCUGACGCCCACUUCGGCUUGGCGCGCCGCCGAGCAGCUGGCCAAGGUGGCCAGCACGCGGAAAAGCCUGAACCGGGGCGGCGAUCUACAUGGGUUCGAGAACGCCCGGUUCUGAGUGAAGACCGACCCAAACCCUAUAAAUAAUCCAUUCUCCUUUCUUUUAUUGUAGACAUUAUUAUUCUCAAAACAAUGAACAUUCUCAUCAUACAUACAUACAUCCACCAAUUGAGUUAGGCGACAUUAAAUCAUCCAAAAAUUAUAGCUUGCGAUUUUGUCCAAUUUGUGCAAUAUUAAGGAUCCUAUCAAAGCCAUUCAUCCCACCUUAACUUUUAAUCUCAACCACCAAUUUGCUUUAUAAAAUCAACUUUAUAAUAUACAUAUGUAUAGUAUAUAUACAUAUGGAAGCAGCAUAUAGGUUUGAGAACAAUCAUAAGCUCAAAUACUACAUAACCAGUAAUAAAAACAAACUCACAAGAGAGUGGCUUAUUAAUUUGUUUUAUCAAAGUAUUAAAUGUGUAAGUGCUAAAUAUGGUUUUAUUACGCAUGUAUAUAUAUAUAUAUAUAUAUAUAUAUAUAUAUAUAUAUAUAUAAUUUGAGAAAACAUGAAUGGGUUAUAAUCUAUGGAUUGAAAGUGAUCAAAUGACGAAUUAAACCUUUUACUCUAUGUGGACGGGAGGGACAUGAUGUGGUAUUUGUCAUAUAGACAGGGAUAUAUACGUAAAGAAGUCCUAUUUCGACUUCAAGUCCGCCGUCGCUUCCCUCAUCCCCUCUCACACGACAAAUCCCUCAUCCGCUGUUGCCGCCUCUGCUUCGAUGCCGAAUCCUCCCAUCCCUCUGCUUCGCUCUUUUGCGCCGGUCUCCUACGACCACCUCGAUGGCGGAGCAGAUGCGAGGAGGAGGAGGAGGAGUUACUGCCGCCUCGAUGAUGUCCUCUUCUGCCGAUGGCUGCGACUAGAACGACCUCUGGUUCGUCUUCUCUUUUGGCCAUGCGGCAUUGGUGGUUGGAGUAAAGGACUCGCCAGCCAUGGCGGCUAGGCCUACGAUCCUACGUAUGGCCCAUGGGAGUGGACUCCUGUCCGCCCUCUCCAAGUGCAAUCCCGCCAUGGGCAGCAGAGCAGAUCACACUACCUCCCUUAUGUUGGAAGAGGAGGAGGAGGCGUAAAGCACAAACCUGUAAGGCCUGGAAUGUCGGUAGCCAAUUCUCUUAUACUUCAAGUCAGAAAGAGACCACCACCAUUGCCGCCACCUUCUCUUCUACUCUUGGAAGCCAAGCCAGGUUCUUGCUCUUGGGAACACACAGGAACCCCUCUCGAUGGAUUUUUCCUGCAAAGCAACCUCCUGCCUCCUCUCUUGGUUUAUAUUGGAUCGCUAAGCUCCCAUGGUUUAACACAUAGCUUGUAGCUUGAUUCGCAGAUCAAAUUUCUUGCUGAGGUGAAUGGGGAGAACAUUGGGCUUCUUCUCGAUUUUGGUGCUGCUCAUCUUGAUAAUAAGUGCCAGUUCCAGUGAUGACCAGAGAUUCACGACUGACAAGAUUCACUUCUGGUUUAAUGGAGAUGGAGAACAAGAGCAAGAAAGAGCCGGAGGGCUCAGCGACGAAGCAGAUUCGAUUCUGAUGCUGGAAAGGGGAGGGGUGGCGCGCGUCCCUGUGAAUGUCCAUAGCUUUGGUGCAGUUGGCGAUGGUGUAGCAGACGACACCAUGGUACAGCUACAGCUGCCAGUUCUCCACAUUUUUAUUUUAGAUUUCCUUCUUUCAUUAAUAUCUUUCACUUGAAAGUCCAAUCUGAUGAUUACAUAUGGAAAUCUUGGACUUAUAAUAUGUUAGGGAUAGAAUUGAGCCUAUGCCAAGCUUACUCAUAUCUAGCAAUAUUUCUUAGUUUACAUCACUUUUGCGCAUCCUUUUUUGUCAUUAAUGUAAUAUGAUAUUUAGCCUCCUUAUUAGAAGCUCUCACCAAUUCGGGAUCUUUUACUAUCUAAAUUGAUUCUUUAAAUUGUUUAUCCUCUUUUUUCACAUAAAUUUGGCGCAAUUAUUUCUGAUACAUGAUCCAGGUGAACACUGUGAUGGAAAACUGUGAAAAUCCCUUGAAUUUUCUAGAUAUUUGUAGUACAUACACUAGUUUGGAGAUUGAUCUGUAAUGCAAAAUACUAGAUUCUUGUAGAUAUACCUCUGAUAUGAUAUGUCACAGAUCAGCCAAAGUCUGAUAGAUUUGGUCCACCCAGUUUGCAUCUCUAUGUGAUUAUGGUUUUCAUUAUGUUAAAAAUUGGUAGUGACAAUGGUGAUCCCUCUUGAUAGAAAGCUUAGCUCCAUCCUUCGGAAAACCAACUAGGAGGGCCCCCAUACGGCUCCAGUAUCACAUUUAUUUGGUGCUUAUGUUAGUUCUGAUACCUUGUAGCUAAUUUCUUAUUUACAUCCAAAAUGUCUUGUAGGCGUUCCGAAAUGCUUGGUAUAAGGCAUGCUCUUUGAAGAAUGCAGUUCUUCUAGUGCCUGAGCGGCAUCGUUAUAAGGUUAAUGCCACUAACUUCAGAGGGCCCUGUCAACGGCACCUAAUUGUCCAGGUACUAUUUAUGUUUCUUGGCACCUUAUGUAAUGCAUUAUACAGUGCUAUAACAAGUAUGAAUUAACAAGGUCUACAAAUUGUAGGAAUCCUCAAAAACACCUGUGUAUGCUGCUUCUUUCCUUACAAUUAUAGUACAAAUGUAUAAAUACAGCUAUGAAGCUCAAUUGCCUUAAAACAUUCAUGAAUUACAAGGAUACCCUUCCAUUUUGGAAUUGGUCAGGUGAAAGGGACAAUAGUAGCACCGGAUGACCCAAAGGAUUGGGAUCCCAAGUACCCAAGUACGUGGCUAUCUUUCUCAAACCUAAACGGGGUCAGGUUCCAGGGUGGUGGGGUAAUCGAUGGUUCCGGUAGCAAAUGGUGGGCUGCUUCCUGCAAGAUCGAUAGAACCAAUGUAAGAAAUAACUCACAUCUUUUUUUGCCUUUUGUUAGCUAUGCUUUAUGCUCCAAUCUCACAUAUUUUUUUUUCACUUAUAUGCAGCCAUGCAAAGAGGCACCAACGGUAAGAUUCUUAUGCACUGCUUUUUCUAGUGCUAUCAUCUAGAUUGGAUGUUAGGUGGACAUGUGGAACAUUUUCUGUCAUUUUAGCCUUUCUUUUGGUCCAAGGUCUCAUGGAUUGAAAGUUUUUGAGUAGAGACUUGUCAGAUAUUUUGGUCUUUUAAUUUAUAACUUAAUAUGGUACAUAAUGCACUGCUAUCUUUAAGUUAGAUCCCUUCUGGGGAUAUAUCAUUGUUUUACUGAGGCAACCAAGAAUAAGGAGGAUUCCAAAAAUAAACAGCUGGGCAUGGCUAAUUCAUGAUUUCGUUUUUCUAGAAUAGGUGAGAAAAAAUGUUGGGCGUAUCAAUUUUCUGUGUCAUGUUAUGAUCCAAUAUAUGUCGAAAAAUAAGGGGAAAAACAAUUUGAGAUGGAUUGAAUGAAAAACUAUCUAUAUGUAUAUAUCACAUAUCUGAAUAUAUGAAGAUUAGUAGACAUGUGGAUAUAAAUCAGGUGCAUGAUGAUCUUGUCAGUGUUUAGGAUGGAUAUUGUAUAUAGUCGAGUGUAAUGUUAAUUUCAACACUUCCUUCUAAACAAUAAAUUCAAAGAAUAAAAUCCUAUUCUUAAUCAGGUGCUUGUACCAACAAAAGUCUUAAACUUGCAGAUUCUAAUUGGAAAAUUAAUUUCUGAAUGUUACCAAAUAAAAAAAUUUAUCUAGAACCUCCUAAUUUAGCAAUACAAAUUUAUAACAUUAGCACAAGAACCUGUUGGUUACACUGACUUAUGUUUCAGGCACUUACAAUUGAUUCAAGCACCAAGAUAAGAGUGAAAGGCCUCACUAUCCAGUUCGCUCAGCAGAUGCAUUUCGUGAUAUAUCGUUCAGAUGUUGUACGAGUAUCUGGAGUGCGCAUAUUGGCCCCAAAAGAUAGCCCAAACACAGAUGGCAUUCACAUUGGUGAGUCAACCGAUGUUGCCAUCCAGAAUUGCCACAUUGGAACAGGUACAUCUGCUAUCUGAAACUUCUUUAAAUGCUUGUCUGUGAUGAUUGUGUCAUUUCAAAGUAGGAGGCAUGCAUGUGUUAUGCAAGUACAACAAUAAUGGAUAUUAGUUGGAGUUACUCUUUAUUCUUUUUAAAAUCUUUGCAUCUUAGUGUAGAAAAAUUUGAGAUUAACCUGCAUGAUUGUGUAGGAUUAACUGAACAAAUAAAUUCUUGUUUGAAUUUUACAAACAAUGAACAAUUUGUAUCGCUCUUAUGUGUCCUUACGCAUAAGGCAUGACAGCAUCAACUUAAGCUUAAUCUCCCCAGUUGUCAAUGUCUACUGUAUGAACAUUGUUGAACUAAAUGGGAAAUCUAAUUUUGGACAUGAAAAUUUGUCUUUCUUUCCCCAAUUGCAUAUGCCUUUUUUGAUGUAUUUCUUGAUAUUAUAUCUCAGAUCAUGGCUAUAAGUGAAAACACUUUAACAAUAAAGAAGUCAUUUUUGUUGAUUAAACAGGGGAUGAUUGUGUUUCAAUUGUGAAUGCUAGUUCAAAUAUCAAGAUGAAGAAAAUUAUGUGUGGGCCAGGGCAUGGAAUCAGGUACCACCUAGUAUUGUGUUCGAAUUGUCUUGAAAAAACCUUGAAUGAAGAUUGACCUGCUGAUUAAGAGUGAUGAUGUGAUUUCUCUCUGUGGUAAUUUGGAUGGUUAGUAUAGGGAGCCUAGGAAAGGAUAAGUCAACAGGCAUUGUUACAGGUGUUGUCUUGGACACUGCAACAAUCUCUGGCACUAAAAAUGGUUUAAGAAUCAAAACCUGGCAAGUAAGUAUCCUGCAGUCAUAUGCUUGAUAUCUUAUAUGGCUUUGGUCUAUGGAGAAAAGAAAUGUCUUGCCUCAUACUAUCUACAUGGAUGAUUGCCUAAAGUCUCAAAUUGCUGAACAGGGUGGAUCAGGAUAUGUUAAGUCAGUGCGCUUUGAGAAUGUGAAGAUGAAUGAUGUUGAGAACCCGAUCAUCAUAGACCAGUUUUACUGUGAUUCCCCAGCCACUUGCAAGAACCAAGUAAGGUCACUUAAGCUUAAUUCCUUUGUUCACAUAAUAAAAAUGGUAUAAAGAUAAAAACAUUGAUGUUUAAUGACAUACCUGUCUUCCUGUGCUUUCUGCUUCAGUUCUCCAACCGAAGUUCAAAUUUUCUAGCAGUUGUACCUUGCCAUAUAAUCUGGAACUAUAUCUGUAACAACUAAGAUCUAACUGCAAGUAAUGCUAGUAAACAUGAUUAGAAUGCUUGGUUUCAAAUUUGUAAUUUUCCAUUACAAAUAGUCAUCCAAUUAUGUUAUAGAUGUAUCUACACGGCAUACAAAACUUUUGGUUUAGUGAUAUGGUCAAUUUUGGUGAUCAAUCCAACUCGGUGAAAUUUAUUCUGACCCAACUUGUUUUUCGAGUUGUUGUAUCAUGGCUCAAGGAAAAUUGGACCAUUUGUAUCAUGUAUGACAUAUCUGCACCAAGGGUGCAUUCAACUAAACUUCUUCGAUGUUCGAGGUAGUGUGUGUUUGUUCGUUUCAAACAUCAAAAACCCAUAAGGAGUUCAUAAUUCAUCUACUCAUUUUGAAGAAAAAACCUUUAAAAAGAUUAUUUUGUAUAGUGUCUGUUUUUCCACUGUCAUGGCAAUUUAGUAUUAUGUUGAUAUAACAUGUCCACUGGAUUCUUUGUCAUCUUUGAAAGUUGACAUGACAUGUCCAGCAGACAUUGACUGGAACUCUAUGUGCCGAGUCCUGAUUUAUCGAAAAUAAUGAGGAUAUCACAACCUGGUUGUCUUGGUAAUCCCUAACUUGCCUUUGUAGUGUUGAUAAACCAAUUCGAUUAGUAAGAGUUUCAAGUAGUAACAUCCUUAUCAUGGAAUAGAUUUUGUUUCUCUUAGUCAAAGAUUUGUGAAAAAUUCAACAAGAAUAUCUAGUAGAGAUGAUUACUUUGUUGAAAAUGUCCUAGAAAUUUGCUACCUUCUUGAAAUUGUUAAUAUCACUAGCAAGCUGUUUUUCUUUUCCUCUUUCUUUUCAGACAUCAGCAGUGAAGAUAAGCCAAGUCAUCUUCAGGAAUAUAAAUGGCACCUCAAGAACUCCUCACGCAAUGAAAUUUGCAUGCAGUGACACUGUACCAUGCAGCAACAUUGUCCUGAACAACAUUAACCUCGAGACGGAAAACGGCACAGCUAAAACCUUCUGCAAUUGCGCCAUGGGAUUCCACUACGGAAUUGUGCAGCCUACGGCGGAUUGCCUCAAGUCCUCCAGCUGUGGCGGAAUCCAGGAAGAUGCCCAAAGGCAAACUCAUGAUCCUACCCACACAGAGCUAUGAUUCCUCUCCUCAAAGAAGCCAUCACAAACAAGUGAUGGCAAAGUGCCAGAAGAUAAGGCUAGUGCUGCUGGGGUUAUUGAAGAUGUGUUCAUGUCUACUUUUUAAAGAUGGAUAAUUUACUUGGGUGGCUAAACUUGAAUUGUUGAAAGUGAAUACUAUGUAGCUUUGUACCUAUAGAACACUAAAAAAUAUUCUUUAUGAUCUUACAAUAAUCAAUUUCUCUUGCUUUCAAAUUGAAAGUUGAUAAAAAAAAAAAUCUAUGUAUAAUGUUGAUGACAGGAUGGAUACCAACAAGAAUGAAGCUUGAUUUUUUAUUUGUAAUGGUUCGAUAACAAGGACGAGAUGAGAUUUGAUUCCCUGAUAUGAUAAUAGUUAUAGUACCAUCAAAGUUAUUUUUUAUUUCUAAUCUUGUUCUAAUAUGAUAACCUAUUUGAUUAAGAUAAACUAUAAAAUUUUGAUUGCAUAGUAAGGUAACGUCACAACUCUGAAUCUUCAAAUAACACCGACUCAGUUUACAUGUAAUGAUCACAGUUGGCGACAUUCUUUAAUGCAUCACAACAGAUCAUAUCAUCCUAAAUACGUCCACAUCUAUUGUUCAACGCGAUGAUUAAACAUCCAAAUUAUUGUCUUAUUCGACGAAAUAUUAGCGUGUGAUUCCAGAAAUAUCUCCUCGCCCACUUGUCGAAUUGUGGCCCAGAAGAAGACAUCUGUGGUGGACACAGUCAACACUGCACAGUCAUCAUCCCAUCAGCCACGUUUAGUUCCUUAACAUAAGCGUCAGAACAUGAUUCCUACGAGACGGCAAGUCUUGCAGCUUACAUUACCUGCACUUGUGCGGUUGUCGUAGAGCUUUCGGCAUGGGCUGCGCUCCGACGAGCGCAGGCCCACCACCUGUCCGCAAACCUUCAGCUGCAAACCACGAGAAAAUCGUCGUCCCAACCCACCAAUCGAUCACGUAUUGACUCAUCUCUGAGUCGGAGGUUGAAGGCAGAGAAAGCAAUGGCGUGAACGUCUUCAACCUCUGCGCCUGCGUUAAGCAAAUCGCACGUGUACAGCUCUCGUGACGUGACGAAGCCGUGCAGCCGCUGUUUCUUCUGGUGCUUUCGCAAGGUAGGGCGCUACAAAAAUCUGCCGGGGAACACGGCCACGCGUCGCCAGAUGUGCGGCAGCGGCUGGAGCUCCCUCGGCGCGGGUAGGGAAUAUAAAGCGGUCCCCCGGGCUUCCCACCUUCCCUCCCGUCCAUGAGAGCGCAUCGAGCGUGUUGGUCUGGUGCAAAGAGUGCUCUUCCAUCAAGAAGAAGCAGUCCUCGGCUUUAAGAUGACGGUGACUCCCGGGAUCACGAUCAGCGACGGGAAUCUGGUGGUCUAUGGGAAGACCAUCCUUACCGACGUCCCGGACAACAUCGUCCUCACUAGCGGCACCGGCGCCGGCCUCAUGGCUGGGGCCUUCAUCGGCGCCGCCGCCUCCGACAGCAAGAGCCUCCACGUCUUCCCCAUGGGCACCCUCCGGUAAGUCCCCGCUCCUCGGUUACGCCUUUGUGUGUAUUGUGAUCGGUCGGAGAUUAACGGCCGGCGUGGUGCGUCGACCGCCAGGGGGCUACGGUUCAUGUGCUGCUUCCGUUUCAAGUUGUGGUGGAUGACGCAGAGGAUGGGAACGUGCGGGCGGGACGUGCCGCUGGAGACGCAGUUCCUGCUGGUGGAGGGCAAGGAGGCGGAGGCGUCCACCGUCUACACCGUCUUCCUCCCGCUCCUGGACGGCCCGUUCCGUGCCGUCUUGCAGGGCAACGACAAGGACGAGAUCGAGAUAUGCCUGGAGAGCGGUAAGCAAACAAUCAAGAGACCGGCCAACUGUAGAAAGUGCAGAUGCGGCGUUUGAUGUUAUUGCUGGCUCGUUUCCUGGUGCAGGAGACGAGGCGGUCGAAACAAAGCAGGGGAUGCACAUGGUCUACAUGCACGCCGGCGCCAAUCCCUUCGAGGUCAUCAGCCAGGCGGUGAAGUACGUCGCACCUGUUAACUUCGUAGCUCAAUAGGCUUCCUGAUUCCUUUCUACUAACCAAUUCGCUGUGGUAAAUCCGCCGAACAGGGCGGUGGAGAAGCACCUGCAGACGUUCCACCACCGCGAGAAGAAAAAGGUAAACACCCUCGUUCACGUGACGGGAACCCUCUCUCGCGCGCUGUCUAUGUCCGGAGAUUUCUGCAAGCUUCUUCGCACUGAUAGAUGACGGUGAUUGACGCAGUUGCCUUCCUUCGUGGACUGGUUCGGGUGGUGCACGUGGGACGCCUUCUACACAGACGUCACCGCCGAGGGUGUGGACCAAGGCUUGCGAAGGUGAAGACCUCUCUUUCUCCGCCGUAACUGCGGUGGCUCGUGAGAGCAUCCGUCGAUAACCUCUCGUCCCCCGUGAUUUCGCAGCUUGUCCGCGGGCGGUGCUCCGCCGCGUUUCCUCAUCGUAGACGACGGGUGGCAGCAGAUCGGCAGCGAGGUCAGGGAUCAGACGGCUGCCGUUGUCCAGGAAGGAGCACAGUACGCAUCACGACCCUCAGUCCUCCUCGUUCGCGAUGACCCCCGCGAGUGGUCCCUUCUUCCCGUCUCGUCAAGCUGCUUUGUGACUGGCAGCAGCGGCGGCGCCGCCAAUCACAAGGCAGAUGAGCGAGACGAGGAAGGCCAUGAAUUGAACUCUUGGUAGGAUCUCCGUUUGGUGGUGGCGUGUUUAAUGUGCGGUACUGUUGACCAGGUUCGCCAGCAGGCUGACGGGGAUAAAGGAGAACGCCAAAUUCCAACGCAAGCAGGGCGAGGGCGAGCGGCGCAGUGGGCUUAAGCAGGUAGUGGAGGAGGUCAAGAAACGCCGCGACGUGAAGUGAGUCUUAUACGCUCAAACAAGUUGUUAAGAUAAACUAGUCAGUAUUAAUAUAUAUUAACUCAAAAUUAUUGAUAGAUUAUAAGUUAGACUAUAUAUAUAUAUAUAAUUCUAUUUUUUAGAUAUUUAUUGAUGAUUAUUUUUCUUCAAUCUCUUUUCACACUUUAAUAUCUUUUAAUAUAUUUUUUAUUAAUGUAUGAUUAAAUUAUCUCUCUCUUGCUCGUAAAAAUAGAUGGUGUGAUCAAUUUUAUUCGCUUGACUCUUAUUUUCAACCUCAUGUUAGUUUAAAUUUUUCUUUAAUAUUAAAUUUAUAGGACUAAUAUAUUAAGUUUGAUAAAAAGGAGAAAGGAGACAUAUAAUUAUAUAACUAUAUAUAUUUAAUUUAAAAUUAUAAUAUAAAAUUUCAAUAAUUAUAAUUAUAUAUAUAAUUUAAUUAUAUAUGUAAUUAAGUUUUCUUUCAUAAUAAAAUAAUUAUUUUACAAUUUUAAUUAAUACUUAUUAUUUUUCUAAAUAUCUCUAAUGUUUUUUAAAAUAUUAAUAUAUUAAAAAAAUUCUCUAUGCAUGUGUGACUUAAUUGUAAGACGAGCGAAUGACUGUUCUGAUCCGAGCAAGCUGUUGUUGCAGGUUUGUGUACGUGUGGCACGCAAUGGCCGGAUACUGGGGCGGGGUGAAGCCGGCGGUGCAGGGGAUGGAGCACUACGAGAGCGCGCUGGCGUACCCGGUGCAGUCGCCGGGGGUGAUGGGCAACCAGCCGGACAUUGUCAUGGACAGCCUCUCCAUCCAUGGCCUCGGCCUCGUCCACCCCAAGAAGGUGUACAGCUUCUACAACGAGCUGCACGCCUACUUGGCCGCUUGCGGCAUCGACGGCGUUAAGGUGGACGUGCAGAACAUCAUCGAGACGCUGGGCGCUGGCCACGGCGGCCGCGUCUCCCUCACCCGCGCCUACCACCAGGCCCUCGAGGCCUCCGUCACCCGCAACUUCCCCGACAACGGCUGCAUCUCCUGCAUGUGCCAUAACACCGACGGCCUCUACAGGCAAUGAAGCCUCACCCUCUCCUCCUCUCCAUCGACGAUUCAUGCUUUGCAUACUAAUCUGAUGGUUUGACUGCGUCGGUGCAGCGCGAAGCAGACGGCGGUGGUGAGGGCGUCGGACGACUUCUACCCGAGAGACCCGGCGUCGCACACCAUCCACAUCUCCUCUGUGGCCUACAACACCCUGUUCCUGGGGGAGUUCAUGCUGCCGGACUGGGAUAUGUUCCAUGUAAGUGAGCACUCAUUUCUCCCCUGAAUCAAAUCCUUACUUGAGCAACACAAGUUUGAUAUGGCAACCUCCUCCUCUGAGCAGAGUCUCCAUCCAGCAGCAGAGUACCACGCUGCUGCUCGAGCAAUUGGUGGCUGUCCCAUCUACGUUAGGUGGGCGACCGCGUUCACAGCUAAGUGGAACCUCACCGUACGAUCCUUUCUUCUAAGCUUUGCUUGCACGUUGGCGCAGUGACAAACCGGGCCACCAUAACUUCGAGCUACUGCGUAAGCUAGUGCUGCCGGACGGCUCCAUCCUGCGCGCGCAGCUCCCGGGUCGCCCGACGCGCGACUGCCUCUUCUGCGACCCAGCUCGUGACGGCACCAGGUCGCCCAUCGUCUGCCUUCCUUUACUCUGCGUUGUGAUGGCGAGUUAUAGAGCUAAGCCUCGUGAUCCAUGUCGUCCUUUCAGCUUGCUCAAGAUAUGGAACGUCAAUAAGUGCUCCGGCGUGGUGGGGGUCUUCAACUGCCAAGGCGCCGGCUGGUGCAGGCAUACCAAGAAGACUCGCGUGCACGACGCCGCCCUGGGUACACUCACGGGCACAGUCAUUGCCACCGACGUCGACGCCAUCGCCCAACUCGCCGGCCCGGAUUGGGGCGGCCAAGCUGUCAUCUAUGCCUUCAAAUCAGGUUUAAUUACAUAACUUGUUGAUCGCUCUCUUCACCUGAUACGUCGUCAUAGAUAUGCUCAUCAUAAUCUCUCUUCAGGAGAGCUGAUUCGGCUACCCAAGGGAGCAACGCUGCCGGUGACUCUCAAAGUUCUCGAGUACGAGGUCUUCCAUGUCUGCCCUGUCAAGGUAUAUAACUACUUUUCCUGACAAUUCCUCGUUAGAUCGGUGCAGUGAAGGAGAUCCAACUGUGUACAUAUAUGCGCAGAACAUCACCCCGAGCAUAUCAUUUGCGCCGAUUGGCCUGCUAGAUAUGUUCAACACCGGCGGCGCGGUGGAGCAAUUCGACGUGAGCGUGACGUCAAACCACGCCGCCGCUGGACAAGACGACGGCCACGUCCCCAGCGAUCCGACGGCCACCCUGAGCACGGCCACUGUGGCACUUCGGGUGAGCGGCCGCGGGCGUUUCGGGGCGUACUCGUCACAGCGGCCACUCAGAUGCACGCUCGAUUCGUCGGACGUGGAGUUCAGCUACGACGAGGGGACUGGGCUUGUGACCAUCAACUUCCCGGUGCCGGAGAAGGAGAUGUACAAGUGGAGUCUGCAGAUCCAAGUUUAGAGGCAAAGCAGGAAGAUUUGAGGGUUGGGGAGUUGAAAUGUGAUGAUGCGUAGAUGACUACUAAUGAGGUGAUUUGAGGUGGAUGCAGCAACGUUCUAAUAAACAGCUAUCAUCGCACGAAACGAGCUCUCUGCCAUUGCUGACACAUUUGAAGCUUCUUCUUCUCAAUCAAAUGAUAUUAUGCUGAGAAGUUGACCUGUUGCUUUCAAACCGAUUGCCUGAGAUCUAAUCUACAGACAUUAAGAUCUGUGCGACAAAUAAAACAACAAACAGGAUUACAAGCAUCUUGAAUUCACUUCCAACUGACAGAAAAAUAACUUCUUUAUACUUAAAUUCAUUUGCUUUAAUUGCAUUAUAGAAAUAUUAAGUCAUGCCUUUGUCAUUUGUUUUAAUAAUUGAGGAAUUGCAUGACAAAAGCCCAGAAGAUCUACAAAUAGUAACUCUAUUGAAGUGCUAAUCCCAUAGAGCUAGGUUGAUUGAAGUCNNNNNNNNNNNNNNNNNNNNUAUAUAUAUAUAUAUAUAUAUAUAUAUAUAUAUAUAUAUAUAUAUAUAUAUAUAUAUAUAUAUAUAUAUAUAUAUAUAUAUAUAUAUAUAUAUAUAUAUAUAUAUGUUUGCGUAAACAAAUUUGGAGCCGUGGCCUCGGGGCCAACGCGGCUCGGUUCGGGUCCGGAUGGCGGGAUCUUCCCGGUGCGGCCCUCGGGUUCGCCAAGGUAGUCGGCUACGGCGGUUCGAUCGGGACGGCGUCAACCGUCUCCACCGGAGGGGGCUCCUCAGUUGGGCACGAGCCUCCCGACCCGACCCCUCCGACGAUCAAGUCAGUAGAUGGUGGAGGGGGUAGAAAGGAGAAGAGUUUGAGGUGUCUCCCUAGUGUGUUCUUUUCCUCCUCUCCCCCCUUGCUCGUUCAUAGCGCGAGGGUAUUUAUAGGGAAGCUUUUGUUGUUUGAUGUACCCGCUUGCAGGGGGUAGGCUGGUUGCGUCUGACAUUGGUUUGGCGUGGCGUGAAGAGCCGAGCUUGAGUGGGCGUUAAUGCGCCUCGGGCUGUGUUUCGGUUUGCUUGACCGGGUGUCGUCGCGUCGUCCGAGGCAUUAGGCAUCAUCUGACGUCAGCCAGGUCUUAUCAUAAUUACUACCCUCAUCAUAUUCCCCCCCGGAAAGAAGCUAUGCGUCGGUCGUUGUAACGAGAGUUCGAGGCAUGGCUUCAGCUUUCAGACGGGCUGGCCGUGCAGGCAUGGUCUCAGGGGCAUGAAGCCGAGGGGCACGACGCAGGCGGGCUAGCCGCGCAGGUGUGUCUCGGGGGCAUAGAGCCGAGGAGCAUGACGCAGGCGGGCCAGCCGCGCAGGUGUGUCUCGGGGCAUGGAGCCGAGGAGCACAACGUAGGCGGGCAGGCCGCGCAGGUGUGGUCUCGGGCAGCAAGGGGCCGAGGGGCACGACGCAGGCGGGCUGGGCGCACAGGUGUGUCUCAGGGCAUGGAGCCGAGGAGCACGACGCAGGUGGGUUGGUCGCGCAGGUGUGUCUCGGGGGCAUGAAGCUGAGGAGCACGACGCAAGCGGGCUGGCCACGCAGGUGUGUCUCGGGGGCAUGAAGCCGAGGAGCAUGACGUAGGCGGGCUGGUCGCGCAGGUGUGUCUCGANNNNNNNNNNNNNNNNNNNNNNNNNNNNNNNNNNNNNNNNNNNNNNNNNNNNNNNNNNNNNNNNNNNNNNNNNNNNNNNNNNNNNNNNNNNNNNNNNNNNNNNNNNNNNNNNNNNNNNNNNNNNNNNNNNNNNNNNNNNNNNNNNNNNNNNNNNNNNNNNNNNNNNNNNNNNNNNNNNNNNNNNNNNNNNNNNNNNNNNNNNNNNNNNNNNNNNNNNNNNNNNNNNNNNNNNNNNNNNNNNNNNNNNNNNNNNNNNNNNNNNNNNNNNNNNNNNNNNNNNNNNNNNNNNNNNNNNNNNNNNNNNNNNNNNNNNNNNNNNNNNNNNNNNNNNNNNNNNNNNNNNNNNNNNNNNNNNNNNNNNNNNNNNNNNNNNNNNNNNNNNNNNNNNNNNNNNNNNNNNNNNNNNNNNNNNNNNNNNNNNNNNNNNNNNNNNNNNNNNNNNNNNNNNNNNNNNNNNNNNNNNNNNNNNNNNNNNNNNNNNNNNNNNNNNNNNNNNNNNNNNNNNNNNNNNNNNNNNNNNNNNNNNNNNNNNNNNNNNNNNNNNNNNNNNNNNNNNNNNNNNNNNNNNNNNNNNNNNNNNNNNNNNNNNNNNNNNNNNNNNNNNNNNNNNNNNNNNNNNNNNNNNNNNNNNNNNNNNNNNNNNNNNNNNNNNNNNNNNNNNNNNNNNNNNNNNNNNNNNNNNNNNNNNNNNNNNNNNNNNNNNNNNNNNNNNNNNNNNNNNNNNNNNNNNNNNNNNNNNNNNNNNNNNNNNNNNNNNNNNNNNNNNNNNNNNNNNNNNNNNNNNNNNNNNNNNNNNNNNNNNNNNNNNNNNNNNNNNNNNNNNNNNNNNNNNNNNNNNNNNNNNNNNNNNNNNNNNNNNNNNNNNNNNNNNNNNNNNNNNNNNNNNNNNNNNNNNNNNNNNNNNNNNNNNNNNNNNNNNNNNNNNNNNNNNNNNNNNNNNNNNNNNNNNNNNNNNNNNNNNNNNNNNNNNNNNNNNNNNNNNNNNNNNNNNNNNNNNNNNNNNNNNNNNNNNNNNNNNNNNNNNNNNNNNNNNNNNNNNNNNNNNNNNNNNNNNNNNNNNNNNNNNNNNNNNNNNNNNNNNNNNNNNNNNNNNNNNNNNNNNNNNNNNNNNNNNNNNNNNNNNNNNNNNNNNNNNNNNNNNNNNNNNNNNNNNNNNNNNNNNNNNNNNNNNNNNNNNNNNNNNNNNNNNNNNNNNNNNNNNNNNNNNNNNNNNNNNNNNNNNNNNNNNNNNNNNNNNNNNNNNNNNNNNNNNNNNNNNNNNNNNNNNNNNNNNNNNNNNNNNNNNNNNNNNNNNNNNNNNNNNNNNNNNNNNNNNNNNNNNNNNNNNNNNNNNNNNNNNNNNNNNNNNNNNNNNNNNNNNNNNNNNNNNNNNNNNNNNNNNNNNNNNNNNNNNNNNNNNNNNNNNNNNNNNNNNNNNNNNNNNNNNNNNNNNNNNNNNNNNNNNNNNNNNNNNNNNNNNNNNNNNNNNNNNNNNNNNNNNNNNNNNNNNNNNNNNNNNNNNNNNNNNNNNNNNNNNNNNNNNNNNNNNNNNNNNNNNNNNNNNNNNNNNNNNNNNNNNNNNNNNNNNNNNNNNNNNNNNNNNNNNNNNNNNNNNNNNNNNNNNNNNNNNNNNNNNNNNNNNNNNNNNNNNNNNNNNNNNNNNNNNNNNNNNNNNNNNNNNNNNNNNNNNNNNNNNNNNNNNNNNNNNNNNNNNNNNNNNNNNNNNNNNNNNNNNNNNNNNNNNNNNNNNNNNNNNNNNNNNNNNNNNNNNNNNNNNNNNNNNNNNNNNNNNNNNNNNNNNNNNNNNNNNNNNNNNNNNNNNNNNNNNNNNNNNNNNNNNNNNNNNNNNNNNNNNNNNNNNNNNNNNNNNNNNNNNNNNNNNNNNNNNNNNNNNNNNNNNNNNNNNNNNNNNNNNNNNNNNNNNNNNNNNNNNNNNNNNNNNNNNNNNNNNNNNNNNNNNNNNNNNNNNNNNNNNNNNNNNNNNNNNNNNNNNNNNNNNNNNNNNNNNNNNNNNNNNNNNNNNNNNNNNNNNNNNNNNNNNNNNNNNNNNNNNNNNNNNNNNNNNNNNNNNNNNNNNNNNNNNNNNNNNNNNNNNNNNNNNNNNNNNNNNNNNNNNNNNNNNNNNNNNNNNNNNNNNNNNNNNNNNNNNNNNNNNNNNNNNNNNNNNNNNNNNNNNNNNNNNNNNNNNNNNNNNNNNNNNNNNNNNNNNNNNNNNNNNNNNNNNNNNNNNNNNNNNNNNNNNNNNNNNNNNNNNNNNNNNNNNNNNNNNNNNNNNNNNNNNNNNNNNNNNNNNNNNNNNNNNNNNNNNNNNNNNNNNNNNNNNNNNNNNNNNNNNNNNNNNNNNNNNNNNNNNNNNNNNNNNNNNNNNNNNNNNNNNNNNNNNNNNNNNNNNNNNNNNNNNNNNNNNNNNNNNNNNNNNNNNNNNNNNNNNNNNNNNNNNNNNNNNNNNNNNNNNNNGCAUGACGUAGGCGGGCUGGUCGCGCAGGUGUGUCUCGAGGGCAUGAUUCGAGGAGCACGACGCAGGCGGGCAGGCCGCGCAGGUGUGGUCUCAGACAUCAUGUGGCCGAGUAGCACGACGCAGGCAGGCAAGUCGCGCAGGUGUGAUCUCGGGCCGAGGGGCAUGACUCAAUCGGGCAGGCCGCGCUGAGGUGGGCUCGGCAGUCUAUGGCCUAGGAGCUCGGCGCAAGCGGGCUGCAACCGAGGGACAGGGCUCAAGCGGGCAGGCCGCGCUAAGGUGGACUCGGCAGUCAAUGGCUAAGAGAUGCAACUCAGGUGGGCAAGGCGCCCUGAGAUGGACUCGGCAGUCUAUAGCCGAGGAGCUCGGCGCAGGCGAGCUGCAGGCGAGGGAUACGGCUCACGUGGGCAGGCCGCGCUGAGGUGGGCUCGGUAGUCUAUGGCCGAGAGAUGCAACUCAAGUGGGCAAGCCGCCCUGAGAUGGACUCGGCAGUCUAUGGCCGAGGAGCUCGGCGCAGGCGGGCUACAGCCGAGUGACACGGCUCAGGCGGGCAGGCCGUGCUGAGGUGGGCUCGGCAGUCUAUGACCGAGGAGAUUUUAAGCCGAGCCGAGAGGGGGUCAGGUAGACACUGAACCUUGGCUCGAAAGAGGCCGAGGCAGAGCUUAGAUUUCUUUUCACGAGGACUACAUCGGGUAGCCACCGCGGGUGCUUGACCUCUCUUAUGGAGCCCGCGGUCGAGAGCCGUUGCUUCUCCUCACGGUCGCCCAGGCCUCCGCGGCGAUGUACCAGUUAGCGCGUUGGAGCAUCUCUGGCACCGUGGUGGGAGGUUGCUCCGCGAGGGACAAGAGGAGUCUGGAAGGUCGCAGGCCUAUCAUAAACGCCUGCACUAACAGAGAGGGGUGAGUGUCCGGCAGGCCCCGGAUUUGCGUGGUAAAGCGAUCCACAAAAUGAGAGAGGGGCUCGUCCUCCCUUUGUUUGAGUCCGAGGAGUAGUGCCGCGGAAGGCUUCGGCCGUGCAUAGGCCACGAAGUAGAGCUUGAAGUCCUUGACGAGCUGGUCGAAGGAAGUGAUCGUUCUGGUCUUUAAGGUGUCAUACCACGUGUGGGUCAGCCCUCUCAGAGUAGUAGGGAACGCUCUGCACAUCAAGGCAUCAGAGGUUCCGCAUAGCGCCAUUUGGGCGCGAAAAGCAGCUACAUGGUCCGCCGGGUCGGUGGAGCCAUGGUAAGCAUCCAGAGAGGGGAGCUGGAAGUCCAGGGGGACUGUCUGAUCCCGUAUCUCAGGCAUGAAGGGAGACCCUUGGUGUGCUUCCACCUUGAGCUCUCCCUUGGACCUGCGAACCUCUUCCUGCACCUCGUCGAGUCGCUGACUGACGAAGCGCAACUGGGCCCGUAGGGAGUCCAAAGAGAGUGCCUCGGGUUUCGGGCGGCCGCUCGGGUUUGCCAUCACUGGAUCCCCGAGUGGGGUCGGUCGGACCUGAGGUGAAGUGGGGGGCUCCGGAAGUGUUGUGUGGGCCCGAACGGGCGGCUCGUAUUGUCGCAACGGUUGGGCUGCAAGCGGGUGUGCCGGAUGAGGAACGAGCGGGAUGAUGGUUUGCACCAUAUCCAUCAGAGCUCGAACUUGACGGGCGAGGUCCUGGAAGGCCUCGGGUGACACGGGCGUCGAGUUGGCGAGGGCGCCAUCGGGCAGCGACAAACCCGGGUCGUUGAACAUUUGCCAGUAUCGUUCGGAGGUCGUGGCGGGGUGUUCGUCACGAUGGCCUCCGUGCGAGGGAUGUUCCCCUAAGGCUCCAGUCGGGUGCGACCUGUCAGCUGUCCGAGCCGCUCGGGUGAUCACCCGACAUUCUGGGCAUUCCUUCUAGCGCCAAAAUGUUUGCGUAAACAAACUUGGAGCCGUGGCCUCGGGGUCGACGCGACUCGGUUCGGAUCCGGAUGGCGGGAUCUUCCCGGUGCGGCCCUCGGGUUCGCCGAGGUAAUCGGCUACGGUGGUCCGAUUGGGACGAGGUCAUCCGUCUCCGCCGGAGGGUGCUCCUCAGCUGGGCACGCGCCCCGUUUGUAGUCCUGCACACAGGUCGGGUCGGGAGGCUCGACCCGACCCCUCCGACGAUCAACUCAGUAGAUGGUGGAGGGGGUAAAAAGGAGAAGAGUUUGAUGUGUCUCCCUGGUGUGUUCUUUUCCUCCUCUCCCCCCUCGCUCGUUCAGAGCGCGAGGGUAUUUAUAGGGAAGCUUGCUGUUGUUUGAUGUGCCCGCUUGUAGGGGGCAGGCUGGUUGCGUUUGACAUUAGUUUGGCGUGGCGUGAAGAGCCGAGCUUGAGUGGGCGUUAAUACGCCUCGGGUUGUGUUCCGGUCUGCUUGGUCGGGUAUCGUCGCGUCGUCUGAGGCGUGAGGCGUCAUCUGACGUCAGCCAAGUCUUAUCAUAAUUACUAUCCUCAUCAAUAUAUAUAUAUAUAUAUAUAUAUAUAUAUAUUGCACUAUUACGGUCAUGUCAUGCUAAUGUGGUACACAUCUGGGGUGAGAAAGGUCUAUGAUAAGUAAACUGGAUACGGCUUAUUUAUGAUGCUAUCUAAAAUGAGACACUAAAUGAUUGCUACAUAGUGUUUGGACUUAUUAAUUGUCCAUUACUCCUUGUAUGCUCAUAAUGGAUAGGAUGAGAAAAUUGGGAAGUGAAUACUGCCGUACGGUGAAUUGAUUCAUAUUUAGAAUAAAAUAAAUAAUACUUGUUGAGUGUACGUAUGAAUGUGGGGCCACCGCAUCGUAAUCCCAUCACACCAAGCUCGAAUCUCGACGCAAGCGACGGUCUUCUUUUCAAAUCUGAUUCGAACACCAAUAGCCUCGUCAUUCGUGCCACAGUUGAUACCUGCUCUGAUUCUUUACUGCUGACUCAGUCCCUUCACCGGGCUGCACACCCGAUUCGAAUAGCCGAAUGCCCAUAAGCUCAUCAGGGCCGUCCAUUUAAUCCAUCGCCGAUCGAAUCCUCCCGUGACAUAGGAUUCCCGUCACCGCCGAGUGACAAGGUCCGUUCACCUCUCUUGCUGUUCUUCGCACGUGAGUACAGUGGAAAGAUUUCGAAUCCAACGCGUCCUCCCACGCGUGGGGCGUACGCACGAGUAUGGGCAUUUUGGGAUGUCCACCAUGUGGUGAGCGCGUAUGCUACGCUGUAAGAACUGCCAAAAGAAGAAAAUAGUAUGACAGUCACACCCUCGAAGUUACUCGAGUCGCUUGCGAGUCGUUGAUUGGCGAAGAUGGUAGUAUGGAUGCGGGACCCACCUGAUGGACCCGAAAGCCGUAUGUAAAGGAAGUAUCCUGUGGCGCCACGAAACGUCGGUGAUUGCGGUCAAUCCGCUUCCAUCAUAUAUAACGUCCGACAUGUCUUGUUUCGUUUCGAGAUGCAUGUAAUACGAAGACAAAUCAGUGGUAUAUAACGGAGAUAGGUAUGUUUUAUUCUUUAUAACGUAUCGCAGGAGAUAUCGGCUUGUGACACGUUACAUCCAUGCAUCACACUUUACCCAUUCUGCCCCUCCAACGGAUACAUCCACGGAGGAGACGAAGUGAGCGAGGUGAUGCAGAGAGGGAUCGGACGAUAGAGAAAGGAGAGGAGAGAGAAGAAGAGUGUGGGUUCCUUUCGGGAGAGAGAGAAACAGGCGGAGGAGGAGGAGCGAUAGAAGCAGAUGGCGGCUCACGUUAGCGUGUGCCGCGGCCUGGUGGUGGUGCUGGCGCUUGUUGCCUGGUUAUCGUGCGCCGCCGCGGAGGGAGGGGGCGGCGACAGGGCGGUGAGGCAGCGCCUGGAGGUGCGACGGCACCUGAAGCGGCUCAACAAGAAGCCGGUCAAGAGUAUCAGGGUCUCUUUCUCGAUUUAACGCCACAUAAUGCUUCCUUCUCGCUGGAUUUUGCUUUCUGGUGUUCGGUGUGGUGACAAAUGAAACAUCAUUUUCUUUCGUCCUUUCAGUAAAAGAUUGCUUCUUCUCCACGGAAACCUUGUCGAUAGAAGUAUUCGGCUUGUUUCCGCAUAAUGCUGCGGUUGUUCCUAUUCUUUUUGUUUUGCCGAUUUCAGGAUUGCUGUAUUAUUGUGUCGAUCUCUCAUCUUCGUUGUAGCAUGAUGAUGAACUGGGCCAAAAUGUUUCAAUUUCGUUCUUCAAUAGCUAAAAGAGGAUUCUUUUUCUUCUAUUGCUUUAAGAAAUUCAAGAUUUUGUGUAGAUGUUACAUGAUGCAGCUUUCUUCGCCUCAUCAGAAGGACAUGCCAUCAAGUUUUUACCUUGCAUAAAAUAAAGUUCUCUUUCCAUCAAAAGUUUAGAUUUUUACCUCCUUUUUUCCAUCUAAAGAUUCUUUGGAAUCGUUUAUUCUACUUCAAUCAUUCAAUUUCUUCCUCUUUUGAUGUUUGGGGGGAAAAUCACAUAAAUAUGCAGAGUCCAGAUGGAGAUAUCAUCGAUUGUGUGCAUGUCUCUCACCAGCCUGCCUUUGAUCACCCUUUCCUCAAAAACCACUCAAUCCAGGUUCAUCUCUUUCUUCCUCCUCACUUUGUUCACUUCUUUUCAGAUUCUCCACUUUUCUUGCUGUAUUUUAUCAAGCCCUUUUUGCUGAUGUUUCCAGAUGCGGCCAACCUACCACCCGGAAGGCUUGUUUGAUGAGAACAAGCUUGCAUCACAGGAGAAGAAGACCCCCUCCACAGCUCAACUAUGGCAUCAGAACGGGAGGUGCCCUGAGGACACCAUCCCCAUCAGGAGGACAACCAGGGAUGAUGUGUUAAGGGCCAGCUCCGUCAAAAGAUAUGGGAGGAAGAAGCACAGGAGCAUCCCAUGCCCCUUGUCUGUUGACCCUGACCUUCUCAAUGAGAGUGGCCAUCAGGUAUGGUGCAGAAAAGCAACAAAGAAACCAUACUUUGGAGCAAAAGUUGCAUCUUUUCUAGACUUGCUUUUGGUUCCUGGCUCAUGGCUUUUGUUUCUUUUGGGUGUUUCUUGAGUAGCAUGCGAUUGCUUAUGUAGAGGGAGAUAGAUAUUAUGGAGCAAAGGCCACCAUAAAUGUGUGGCGGCCAAAGAUCCAACAACCCAAUGAGUUCAGUCUCUCUCAGCUCUGGAUAUUGGGGGGCUCCUUUGGUGAGGAUCUCAAUAGCAUCGAAGCAGGUUGGCAGGUAUAUUUCUGAUCUGCUCCAGACAAACCUGCAAUCUCUUUCUUCUCUGCUUUGGUACAUUGAAAGAGCUUGUGCAUGCAUUAAGUCUUGCUUGCAUGUAAUAAUCAGGUCAGCCCGGAUCUCUAUGGUGACAACAACACCAGGCUGUUUACUUAUUGGACCGUAAGCUAUACAUUCUACCGCUUUAUCAUCAUUUCUUUUCAUUAAUCCUGUCGUUCUUCCUUUUUCUUCUGUUGUUAUAAUUACAACUUUUGCUUAGAACUAUUCUAUCGCUGUGUCUACCAUGUUAGAGAUUCAAAACGAUUCAGAUGGUGUCAUUUCAUAGAUGACAUAUGCACAAUGGCUUUGUGAAUUGUGUGUUCUUUAUAGUAUCCAUACGAUGAAAUUUCAGAGUGAUGCAUACCAAGCAACUGGCUGCUACAACCUAUUGUGCUCGGGGUUCAUUCAAGUCAACAAUGAAGUUGCAAUGGGUGCCAGCAUCUCUCCGAUCUCCGACUACGAUGGUUCGCAGUAUGAUGUAUCCAUACUUGUUUGGAAGGUGCAACCAAGCCUCAAUCUGCAUUUGACAAUUCUUAUUCACUCCAUUUUCUGCGGUAAUUGGUAUGGUUCGAUUCGACGGAGCAGGAUCCGAAGGAGGGGAACUGGUGGAUGCAGUUCGGGAACGAUUACGUCUUGGGUUACUGGCCUUCUUUCCUCUUCUCUUAUUUGUCAGACAGUGCGAGCAUGAUAGAAUGGGGAGGGGAGGUGGUGAACUCGGACGCAGACGGCGAGCACACCUCGACCGAGAUGGGCAGUGGCCGUUUCCCGGAAGAAGGAUUCAGCAAGGCAAGCUACUUCAGGAACAUUCAGGUGGUGGACGGGUCCAACAAUCUAAGGGCACCCACAGGGGUUGGAGCCUUCACAGAGCAGUCAAACUGCUAUGAUGUGCAGAAUGGAAACAAUGGUGAAUGGGGGCAGUACUUCUACUAUGGAGGGCCUGGUAGAAACUCCAAUUGUCCAUAGAAACAAACCCUAAUCGAAUUCCCCCCCUUCCUUCCCCCUUGUACCAUUCUUCAGUCUGAUCCCAUCCUUAACUCAGAGGUUGUUUUGCCUGUUGUAACUCAUCCUCUCCCAUCCUUAACAAAGCUGGGGAGAGAGAGAGAGGCUGUGUCUGUGUUUCUCUGUCAUUUGCUCCAUCUUGGAGUCGUUUGUUCGGCUUAAGGCUAAAUGAUUAUAACCAGUGGAUCUCGACAUGGCUGAUGGCACUGCAACUUCUUUAGGUAGACCUAUUUGUUCUUACCCACUGCACGUUAUAGAUUCCCUGAGUUGGUCGGCAGCUUUUCCGAACAAGCUGAUGGGCGAUGAGCAGAGUGAUUACGAAGGAUCGGACGAGGCAUGACACAUGUGACAACACAGUAGGCUGUGGGUCUCUUUCAAGCUUGUGAUCACUUUUGAUAUUGUUGUCAGACGAUUUACUUUUUGAGUUGCCAGCUUCUUCUGUGUUCAUGUGAGGUGGUGCCGGUGGUGGUGGUGGUGGUGGAGCUGUCCCUGCUGUGUGACAAAAUGUCUCUUCUACCACUAUUUCUUUUACGGGGGGUGGUGGGAUUUUGGAGGCAUAUAUCCUACUGAUAGCUAUGCGAGAAUGCAAUGCUUCUUCAAUGAUCCAUAGGAUGUGGGAGAAAGUUGGUGGAGGAUCAAAUCAUGAGGUAUUGUUAUAAGGGGGUGUAAGAGAACACCAAAUGAGAAAUCUGAAAAUAAUAUAUAUAUAUAUAUAUAUAUUCUCAAAAUUCAUCCUAUCAUUUUCUUCUGUUUUUCUUUUCCCUUUAAGCUUGAAAAAUCAAUUAAUUUUAGUUAAUUGUAAAUAUUGCAUCAUUUGAUCUGCCUCUCUUACAACUCUUAUUUGUUCUGUCUUGCCCAGACGAUCACCAACUCACUAGGAAUACCACACCUUAUCCCAGUUUACUACUCCCAUAUUUAUGAGUGGCUGAUGAUUACAAUGAAUUUAUUUAUUUUUUUUAUUUUAUAAAACCAAGAUAAAAAAAUAAUAUUUGACGUUAAUCGAAGUCUUAGCUAACAUUUUUGAACUUUUAAUUUUUAAUAAAUAAGUUUGGUAAUAUUUAAAGUCUAAAAAUAUUAUAUCGGAUGAUAUUUCGAGUCGAUAUGAAAUAUGUCAGAAUGAGAUUUUGAACCCUUAAUCUUUGAUGAGUGGGUUUGAUAUAUUAUCAUAGAUCAAUAUUUAGGUGAUAAAAAAAAUUAAAUUUAAACAUCUUAAAUCAGUAAUUAAGUUAAUUAUUAUAUCUGAGUGGAGGACCAGAUCAUGAUUCGAGGUGUGCAUGCCCACUGAGAUGGGCUCCUCCUGUCUCUCUCUCUCUGAUACCGGAGGAGAAGACCGUGAAGUGGCAUGAAUAGUUAAAAGUUCUUAAUCAUUUCUCAAUUUGUUUUGGACAAAUUCCCACUCUUUUUGCAUCACACAAAAUAUCCUAAAAAAUACAAUUUUGUUUUCUUUCCUCCAAUUGAUUUGGUUUAAUCCAUUAGACCACUUGAAGAUAAUAAUAAUAUGCUAUUUUUAGGGUAUUUUAGUCGUUUGUAAAAAAUCCAUGGAAAAUUAUUUGAUGCAUUUUAUGAGAAAAAAUAACAAUAAGGGGCUUUUUAGCAUAUCAAUAUAAAUUGAAAACUAAUAGUCUAUUCUUUCAUCUCGUUGCUUAAGACAUAAGUUUAAAUGAAAAUAAAGAUAAAAUAUGAUUGAAAAGUAUAUCUUAUUAAAUGUCAUGCACCUUACAAUAUAUUUUAAAAUGAUAUAUGAUAAUGUGACAUGUCUCUUUAAAAUAUGCAACCAUACCAUCUUAAAUAAUAAAUAAUUCAUCCUCAUCUUAUCAUCUAUAGGAUUUUCUAUUUAAUUAUUCAUUAAUAAAUAUUUUAUUAAAUUUUCCUAAUAACUUCACAUAUAUCUCAUUACAAUAAUUUUUUACAUCAAUUUUGAUCACCAUUUCCAACCCAUCAGAAUCGGUCAAACGCUUUCUGCAAAUAUAUGCUGAUGCCAAUUCCCUUUCCAUUUCCUCGAGUUAAUCCAUCCUAUUGUGAAGCCCAGCCAAAGCUUUCUGCAAGUUCUGAUGGUUCACCACAGGUAGGUGGAUGACAACAGCAGUCAUCUAUUACACCACACCAAAUAAAGAAGAAGAAGAAGGAGAGAGAGAGAGAGAGAGGACAGCUGCAAUGCGGGCCUUCCGUCCUUCUCCCACACACCCUGUCAUCAACAUGCGCCCAUCAUCUCCUCCUUUCAUUCACAUUCAUUCCUUCAUUUGACAGCUUCUUCCUUUCUAAGUCUGGCCUUCUCUGCACAGCCACGCAAUAACCACAACCCCUUCUCUCCGACUAUAUAACCUCCCCCUCCACCUGAACCCAUUCCCAUCUCUCUCUCCCUCUCUCUAGGAAUCUGUGGAGAUCAUCGUCACAGUUGAUAUUUUCUUCUCUUCAACGACGAUGGAGGCUGCUCUUAAGCUCAGGCUCUUCGCCCUGGCCAUGGUGGUCGUCGUCGUGGCCUCUUCCUUGGUCGAGAAAGCCGCCGCUGCUGACGCACCCGCCCCCACCCCUACCUCCGGCGCCACUACCACCGCCCUCGCCGCACCUGCUGCCGCCCUUGCCUCGUUCUCCGCCCUCCUCUUCGGAUGCUUCCUCUACUAAGCCACAACGUCAUUGUUUCGUCACCUUGUUUCCUUUCCUUUGUUGUGAUUUCUUCAUGUAGUCAUUCUCUUCUGUCAUGGUGUCUAUGAAGAGAGAGGAAGAGAGAGGAAUAUGCAUGCAUCGACGUAUGCAUACGGCGGUGGUGGUGGUGGUGGUAGUGGAUAUGUAAUCUUCUCUUGGUGUUCAUUCAUUUAUGUUAAUGUGAUUCUUUCCCUCUUCUUUUGUCAGAAGUAAAUGAUCUAUGCUACCAUCUAAGCUUCUAAGCUUCUCAAAAAGGUUAUGGCUGCAGAACAAUUGCCGAUCAAACGCCAUUAAUUGCGUUAUGCUUUGUGCUUUGCCAAGAAGAGAGCAAUCAUCAGUUGAAGAAACUGGUGAUCCCUUUGCUCAUCAUGGCUUGUAGUUGAUUCAUUCAAUGCAUGAAGACAACAAUGAGUUGGCAAUGCUGGCUCAACAUGGCCUUGCUGUUCGCAUGGCUUCUCAGGUUCCACAGGGUCCCAUGCCAUCAAUUAUAGCAUGCUUGUUGCUCCUCCUCUAUAAUGAGUGCCCUCAAUCAAUGUUCGAGGUCGAUAGGAAUUAGAACCUUUACCUUUUGUUGGUUUCAUGUGGAACUACAUAAAGAGUUGUAGUGAUGGGGGAAAUAUCACUUGUCAACCAUAUAUACCAUUCAUUUAUUUGCUAAAUGUUCAUUUCUAAAAGCUUAAAAACUUAGUUUAUAAGUUCGUCGGGUCUCUCUAUACUUGAAGAUAAUUAUUGGUGCUCACAUCGCUCAGUACAACCAUCGCUCAUUCUAAUUGGUAGUUGAGACUUUAACUUAUAUAGGCACCCUUUUAAAAUGUAAUAUGGUGUAAAAAAAAUUAGGUUUUGAUAAAUAUUAAAAAUUAAGUUUUCAGUAAUCUUAAGUAUAUACUUAAGCUAUUAAGGAAAGGAUCCAAUUUAUAUUAAUUUUUUUACACCCUCAGUUGUCUACAAGCUGGAUUUUUUUAAUAAAAAAUAGAAAAAAAUAAUUAUGUUAAAUAAUAUACAUGGCAUUGAUAUUAUUUAUGCAAUAAUACACUAAUAAAUUCGGAUGUCUCAACAGAGACCACAAGUUGGAUUAGACUUGGCAAAUAAAAUUGAAUAAAAAUAAAUGAUGUGUAAAAUAAAAAUAAACGUAUACAUAUAUUGAUGUCAUGAUCUGCCUAUGGUAUCAUGAUAAAUAUUUUAAUUUAGUCACCAUUAAUCCUUAAAUUAUUAGGAAAUGACUCAUGAAUAUAAUCAAAUGAGUAGGUAUUUCAAGUAUAUGCCUUUAGAAUUUAAAAUGAUGAUGUAUACCACCAAGUAUUUAUUUUAAAGAGAUAUGCAUGUAUUUGAAAAGGAGUGAAAUAUUAAUAUGAUUUUGAAACUUCUGGAUUUCAGAUAUGAAAGAACACAACAUAUAUUGUUCAUAGAGUAGGGUUCAUUGCAUGUACAACCAAAAACUUGAUCUAAGUUUUAGUAAAAAUUGAUAUUUCAUGUAGGUGGGUAUGUAUAAAACCUCUCUCUCUCUCUCUCUCUCUCUCUCUCUCUCUCUCUCUCUCUCAUACACACAUACAUUCUAUAGACAUGAUGGAAUACAAGGAUCACUGAGCAUGAAUCUUUGAUGCAGAUCGAAUGCAUAUAAACAAGGGAUUCAGUGUCACUGGCAAGUUGACAAGGACAUGGAAGCUACUCUUCUAGCUAUAUGAAAAUGACAAUACUGCAAUUAUCAGCCUUCCUCUCUCAUGGUCAGUAUCAAUACACAUCUCUCAUAACUGGCUCAGCAAAGAUAUCUUUCCCCCUUAUUUUUCUUGAUUCUUUUUCUUGGUUGUUUGCAUGGCAUUUAGUCUUCCAUGCCUGACCAGAGUGGAUCUGUGGUCGACCUUUUCCUGACAAUUUGGACCUUCAAAUCACCUCCUUGUCAACAUCACUACCUCCGAUUUGCUCAAACAAUUACAGAAUAGGGUAAUAAAUUAGUGAUGAUUGAGUUGUUCUCUGUAUCAUCAAACAUUUCUCUGUUUCAGUUCCUUUGUGCAGAAUAAGCGAAGCAGAGAGUGUGUGUUGACAGUGUGAGAGAGGGAAACAUGAAACCAAGCUUUAGGCAACCACAGAAAGAAGCUGAAACGAGCACUGUAUUCGGCUGUAAUUUGAAGAGCAAGUAGAAUUAUUGCCAUGCAAGGCAGCUUUACAACGUGAUCUUAUGGCAUGCAUUUCCACAAACACAUGUAAUCUAUAGCAUUUAUUGUCGAGAAGAGUGAUCGAUCAAGCACUUGCAAUGUAUCCUCCAAAUGAGAUGUGUGCCCUCGUCAUGGGAGCUCCCCUCGCGGCUGACAGUGCCUGGUUUAGCCUUGCUGCCUGUUGCACAACCUCCUUCAUUCUCUGCAAUCACAUCACACAAGAGGAACUUAGGAUGGGAUUAGAUUAUCUUAAUUGAUCGAUGAGCAGUACCUUAUCGUGGGUGUAGAUCUUGAACUGGAUCUUAGGUUUCUGAUGCUGUCGGCAGCCAAGGAUGAAGAUGCAGAUAGUAGCAGCAGCAGCUGCUGCUGCUGAUGCUCCCAUGGCGCAGAAGGCUCCAAUACCUGUCGAUCUCCAAUUCCCCGGAGGAGGAAACCCGAAGCCUUUGAUCUCGGAUCCUGCAUGAUCUUUCUCUUCUCCCUCUUCCCUGACUUGCGAUUCCACGUCUGGUGUGACGACGCCGAUGUCUUUGAAUCCUUUGGCUUCAGCAUCAUCAUCUGAGUUAUUCUCCAUGGUUGGCUCUGAGUUCUGCUGCUGCUCCAAGAAAGAUUGUGAUGGGCAGAUGAAGUAAUUGGCAUCAAGUGUGAGCUCCUUGAGCACCAAAUCAUUUUGACUGCCAUGGCUGAAGUCCAGCAAGCUCUUGUCAUCAGGGAGGAACUCCCAGUCAUCGAGAUCCCUCUCCAGGCAAGAUUUCUCCAUGUGAUCAGAAUUAGGGACGACUGUGUGUGUGUGUAUGAGAGAGAGAGAGAAGAGAGAAGAGAGAGAGAGAGAGGACUUAUCCUUCCACCUGCCAAGACUUUUCCUAUAAAUCUAAUUCCCAACUUUUGUUUGACGACUUGCAGAGGAGGAAUGAGUUCUAAUUCCUCGAACAGUUCUUGUGCAUGAUUGGGCUGUCUGCCAGUCUCUGUCUUGGUCUCUCUCGCUCUCUCUGCUUCACACAUUAAUUCCAAUAUGCACAGUUAAGGUUUGGGUUCGUUCGAGCGUCACGAGUUGGUUGCGGCAAGGCGAUUCGAAAUGGGUGCGCCACAUGAACCGGGCGACUCGGGCGUGCGGCUCAAUUAAAUCAGGGAUUGGGUUCCGUUGAGCUCGAAGUAGUUGAUUGGGCUGAACCAUUUCAGCCAACUAAAUCCUUCCCCAUGACGCGAACCGGAAAGGACGAACCAUUGCUGCCCCUCACCCGCACGAACUGUCGCUGCCCGAGCCGCUCUCCUCCCUGUCGAGCAGCUGCUCACCCCUCCGGCGGUACCUCUCUCUCUCUCUCUCCCUACUUCCCUUCACUCUUCUCCCUUUUCCACCAGCAGCCGCCGCCCUCUCUGCCUCAGGCAGCCCUUUGGCGCCUCCGUUCUCUCUUCCCCAGCCGCCGCCAUUGUUGAUGCACCGAUGCCUUUUUUUGCUGAUGUGAUGCCAUUGGGUGCAAAUGUCACGUUUAUAUGAAAAUUAGGAAGAUUUCGACACACUUCAAAAUAAAACAUGAUGAAAAUUCUAAGUUUUUUUAAUCCAAAUAUUUUAGUAGCCUUAUAAUAUUUGUGACAAUUUACUGUGAGGGAACGAAAAUAAAAAAAAAGAUAAUAUGUUAUUUUAUUGUAAUAGUUGGAAAUUCGGCUUAGCUCAGAUUAGAUUUCAAUGGAAAACCUAUUUUCUUAAAAGGAUUUAUAUUUUUAUGUCAAAGAAAGAAACCCUCUUUGGGGAAUAUAGGAAUGUAAGCCCUAAUUUAUAUAUUAUAUUUGCCAAAUAUGAAGCUUUUCCCAUGAAAUUUUAAUCUUGCGUCGGAAAUGAUAUUGUAUUUGUCAAUGCAUGAUGGAGUGGGGACAGAACUGGAAUUUACGUAUAGGCUCCACUCUGCCUCGAUGGGCCGGGCUUGAAAUAAAAGCCCAUUAAGACAAUGCUACGAUUGGCCCAUUACAUGCUCCUCUAGGGUUUCGCUUCCCUCCCCUGCGGUCGGUUUCGCUUCUGGAUAUCUUAGCACGGGCGACAGCGCAGAGAGGGGUGUUUGGUUCCUUUUCCUCGAGCUCGUCUCGGUAGGUUGUCAUCCUUCCCGAUCACAUUACUCUUCUUGGCUUCUCUUUGAUUGGUUGCUGCGAUGUUUUUGAGUUUUGGCGAUAUGCAAUUGUUCUUUCUUUCGCGUUUCUUGGUCUUUCAUCGUCUUCAUCAGAUCAAUUUGUACAGCAGAUAAUACUUGCGUUCCCGUCAUUCUUUAAAGGUUUAGUUGUUUGCUUGCAACUUAGAAGUAGGUCAUCUAAUGCCAUGCAGUACUAAUGUGGAAGUUGCCUUUGUGCGUGCGUGAGAGAGAGAGAGAGCAGUCCGCGUUGUAGGACACGAAGGCCACAAGAACAUGUCAAUAUAAAACCCAUUUGUCUGCUAAAGUCCACAGCCUAAAAGAGGGGAAUCAGCCACCAUAGCAGUUGGAAAAAUGUACUGCUUUCAUUAGAUGGGGGUUGAACCUUAGACCUCCAGUGAUGGAUGAGAGAUGCUAUACCAUUCAAGGAUAAGAGAUACUGGAGAGGUUACUACUGUUGUUAGGAUUGUCAUUUAUUUUUAAUACAUAAUGAAAAGAAAAUUUUGUGAAACCGAAUGGCUCAAGUUUGAGCCCAACAAUCUAUUCUAUGUUUUCUUCACAAUAAUGCAUUUGUUUUGCUCGUAGUGGCAGCCAUAGUAAAGAUUGAAGAAUCAAGUUUGAGAUCAACAAUGCAUUUCCUGCAAGAUAACGGAAUUGUAUACCCAUCAAAAUUUUGUUGUAGAAUCUUUUACAAGUUCCUCCAAGGAAAAUUCUAACUUGGCUUUGUUCUAAAAUGCAUGUUUUUUUGUAUAACUCAGUUUAAUUGUGUCUAUGAUGGUUCACUUAACUUAAGAUUUUCUUGCUACAUAUAUGGUUCCUUAUGUUAUUUGCAUGAUGCAAAAAAAUUGUAAGAAAUAUUGAAAAAGAAUUGUUGAUGCGCUGAUGCAUUUUUUUGCUGAUGCGAUGUUAUUGGGUGCAAAUGUGGUUACCUGUGUCAUUUUUUGUUCAAUAUGUCAUGUUUAUAGAUCAGUCUUGUGAUAUGCAGGAAUAAAUUGACUCCUGAGUUGCAUACAAGAUGAGAUUAGAAAAGUGUUGGUUCUGUUCCUCAACCAUUUAUCCAGGCCAUGGAAUUCAGUUUGUUCGAAAUGAUGCAAAGGUAAGGCCAUGUUUUCCGAAUUAAUUCAUCUGGAAGACUGGUUUCCAGGCUUCUUCAAAAGAAAGGUGUUAUAAUAUAAAAUUGGGAGACUUGUACCAUUUGAAAAUAUGAUUGUUACUCAUAGUACUACAAACUUGGUUGUUUGUGUGACUCUUGUGCUUUAAGCUCCUUCACUAUUAUCUGACAGACUUGUACUAAUCCUUUAUAUGUCAUAAAUCUUAACCCUAUUAUGAUAUUAUUUUAAUUGCAUGUUAUUUCAGUUUGCUCUCUUCGUUCAUCUAUAUCUAAAUUGGUUAUAUCCAUCUUUCAUUAUGCAGAUGUUGUUUUGAUCUACAAAUCAUGCUUUCAUGAUGAAAUCAAAAUGGCCCUAAAUGGUCCUAGUUCAUUACUUGGAUUAUGAUUUCAUAUGAUUGUAACAGAUAAGUCUUUAUUGUUGGUGAGAGAAUGCCAUAGAUUUCAAGAUUGAACUUGAUUAUUUUCUUUUAUGUACACACACACACACACACACACACACGUGUUCUCAUUCUUUUGUUCAUUAAAUUUUGAUCUCUUGUUUCCUUUUGUUUUUUAUAUUUUCUGAAUUGCUUGAGCUUUAGAAAGGACAAGGAGAAAGGAACCCAAUGAUCCACAAUUUGAUUCAUGAUCUGAUAUAAUCUUUGUUAGGUGUAAUGCAUUCAUAUUUUUCUGUUCAUCAAGUGUUUGGCUCUUAUUUACUAUUAUUUUCAUGUUUUCUCAAUUGUUUGAGCUUUAGAAAGCACAAGAAGAAAAGAAUCUAUCUCUCAUGAACCCUCUUAGUGAUUCUUAUCUGAAGUAAAGUAGUCUUUUUCUUAGUUUUUAUGAUUUUUUUAGAAUUCUAAAUUAUUUUCAUGGAUUCCACUGAUCUGAUUCAUUAAUCAGACUGAUACUGAUCGUUCUGCCAUCGUAAGAUCUCAAUCCCUAUUUUGAGCGAUGGGCUUCUUACAGAAUUCUAGCAUGCAUUAUGGUCUUUUUAGCUUACCAGCAGUCAACAAGAUGCCAUGGAAACAGGUGUAGUCCAGUGCUUAUUGGAUGAACAUGCCUCAUUCAGUUUUAUGAAAAUAGAUGCUAUACAAAGAAUUUACUUUAAAACCCAGUCAAAUGAAGGCAUUAUGUUCAGUUUCAUCAAAAUAGAUGCUGUACCAUAUGUCAAGAUGAGAUUGGGGUUGAUUUUGAUCAGAUCUGUGUUAAAGAAAAACUGAUCUUGAUGUCCCAACAGAUUGACAUAAGUCAAUCCGUAAGUGCACGAGUUCCAAUAUGAAAACCUGAUUCAUUUGGUUUGAUUUGGUUAGUCUUUCAUGUUUUCCAAUGUUUGGACUCAUGACAGUAGUACAGUGGUGAAAAAAAACCCCAUUGGAGAAGAAUGAAAUAGAACAUGAAACUGUGGGCUCCUGUGUAGUGGGAGGAGAUUUUAUGAUGAGAUAAUAUCUAAACAUUCUAUGUUUUAGAUGAUCAGAUUGCGUCAUAAGUAUAACGGAUGGUUGUUGACUGGCAUCUGAUCCAAUUAUGAAUUAGACAAUCAGAAUAGUUUAAUUGGAUUGUACUGAUAAACAAUCAGAUUAAGAUUUGUUCCAAUAAACAGUUCAAAUUUGUUGAGAUAGCAUCAUAUCUGAUCCAUUGAAAGACAUCUUUGGGGAACUAUAUGAAGUAAAAGCUACAUAGGAACUUAGAGCCAACAUUCUUCAUUUUGUAUGCCAAGUUGUGCAGAAUAGCUUAAGCCUAUGGCUCCGCUGCUUCUGAUGAUUUAUAUUAUCAAGGUUCAGUUAUGUAUACAUACAGUUUGUAUGUCAGCCAUGGUUUGUGAAGUCUAAUGCGCAUGAAAACAUUAUUAGCCUAUAAUGUUGUUUGCUAGUUCCUAUUGUCAUCGAUGAAAGUUCUUUUGCAGAUAUUCCGAUUCUGCCGAUCAAAAUGCCAUAAGAAUUUCAAAAUGAAGAGAAAUCCUCGCAAGGUGAAAUGGACAAAGGCGUAUAGGCGAUUACAUGGGAAGGAUAUGACUCAGGUUAGAAAUGCUAGUGUGAUACUUUUUUCUGUGUUUCUUUGUUUAAGUUGCUGAAAUUGCAUGACACGAUGACUAUCUAAUGACUGCUAUCCCUGUUAAGGACUCGACAUUUGAGUUUGAAAGGAAGCGUAACAGGCCUGAAAGAUAUGAUAGGAAUGUCACAGAGAUGACGCUGAAGGCUAUAAAGAAGAUUGACAAGAUCAGAGUGACCAGGGAGGCUCAACACCACAAAAUGAGGUUGGUUUCCGUUACGAGUGGUAUCCCAUUUUCUUCAAUUUGCAAUUUAUAUUCUGAUAUGCCAUACUCAUAUAUCUCACAGGAUGAAGGGUAAUAAAGCAAUCGAGCAAGAGGCGGCAAUUAAGGAGUUGGAGAACAGUAUUAAUUUGGUCAAAGCACCUGCUGCCCUGCAGCAGGGAUCAGAAAUUACUCUUCCAAAGAUCAAAGUCAAGGUUUCUCAAUCACAAGAUGUGGGAGAGCGAAUGGAAGAAUAAUGGUAAUCUGGACAUUCAUCCAUCCUCCAAUUUAAAAGUGCCAUAUUAAGUUUUUGUUUUCUUUUGUGUGUUUGCACAGUUUAUGAGUGGGUGGUUCCUUGGAACAUUCUUCUACUGAAAGAUGGAUGGAUGCUUUGCCAUGGAUGUAGCUGAAAUAGUAGUUGGGAGAACAACAUUUUGUGCUUAAUUGUCUUGGUUGGUAAUGGAUGGUUUUUUUUUUUUUGUUUUAGUGGACACGUUAUUUGAUCACAUUAACAGAAAGCUUCUGAUGCAGCUCAAAAAGAACAUGGAAUGGUUGCAAUCUUCGCAUUUCGUGAUUGAUUGAUAUUACUAGUGUUGUUGUCAUCGAGCGUUUCCCGCCCCGACGAGGUGAGUCGAGUGCCUCAGAAUUGGUCCGAGAGGGCAAAUUGAAGCAGGUGUGGUUUGGAGGAUUGAUUGAUUGGGCUCACCCCAUGCGUGCGAGCCCUAUCGACACCACCACCUUGUGUCGCGCGAUUCGACAUGUGGUGGCCCUUAGGCACGUUGUUGCAUAUACCUUUUGCAACCGAGAAGAAACCUAACCUAAACUGUGAUCAAUUCAUCUGCAUGGCCCUUAGCCCUUGGGCUCGUGGGGGCCCGUCCGACGUUACCUUCUCCCCUCUCAUGAGGGGCAGAACCCUCCCUCCUCAUCCUCUUUUUUUACUCCAUCCUAUUUUUUUUUUAAUAUAAUAAUAAUAAUAAUAAUAUUUCUAUUUAAUUAUAAUUUUUAUAUAAUUUUAAUAUUUAUGAAUAUUUUGCUUGUACUCAAAGCGACAACUUAGCGCCUCCAGCCUAUCCCUACCCUCUUUCUCCUCCAUCGUUGUCCUCUAUCAAGCCUGCCUCCCAACAGUCUCACCCUCCCCCCUCUCUACUCGGUGCUUCUUCCGUCGACCAAUUUGUGUGUUGAACGGAUCUAUUUGAAAAAGUAUAUAUAUAUAUAUAUANNNNNNNNNNNNNNNNNNNNAUAUAUAUAUGCUCGAGCGAGAGCACCUAACGCCUAUGCCUAUAACGAUCAUAAGCACAUGUAACUGACAGCAUGUAUCGCUGCUUUAUUAUCAUCUGCUAAAAAGGUCUUGCAAUCUUAUUUCUUGAAUUCAUCUGCAUUGCACAUGAAACCUUGUAAGCUCAAUUCUCAAAAGGUGAGUAUCGUGAUCUUGCUCCUGCAUAAUUGGAUCCGUGGGAUGUCAGUGUGUUUCACUUCACCACAGCGUCGUAAUCAAAUUGAUAUCAUUCAAGCUAAGUCGGAUAAUUAACUCAGGUGUCAUAUUCUCUACCACCUACCCCCCACCCAGCACUCCUGGGAAUCUAUCUGAUGAACGAGAGAGAACUGUUAAUCGAACACUGUGUAAGAAGACUUUAGAAGCUUCCUAUGGUAGGAUAGGAGGAAGAAAGAAGCUUUACGGGAAGGGAUAACAAUAAUGUGGACUUCUUUUUGUGUUUUUAUUCGAACCAUAAACAACUUUAGGGACUUAAUAUCUAAUGCCACACUUUUAUUGUUCCUGUGGCAAUCACAAGAACUCGAAACGGCCCAAAGUUGCAGUCACAAACAAUUUAGUGAAGUCUAGUACAGGACAAAUCUUUUGCGGCAUCUAUUGCCAGUUAUCAAUCAGGAGACCCUGUCGUUUGACACAGCUAAGAAUCCACCAGUCGAAAGUUUUGAGUCAGGAACUCGUCUAUCAUUUAACUCAACAAUAAAAGUUUUUGUGGCAUGAAAUGGAAGUAGUGCAGAGUGACUAAAAAUGAUAUCAGUGGUGUGUCAUCUACAGAAGAUUAGUGAUACCAGGGAUAGCAUAUUACCACAAUAAGACUGUCUUUUGACACAAAGCUAAGAAUCUACAAGUAAAAAGUAAGGCCAAUGUUCUUCAUGAAUCAAAUUCCAACAAAGUUUUACCAGUCAGGAAGAACUCAUUAAUGUCUAUAACAUUUGUCCCACAACAACAAAAGUAUUUGUGGCUUGAAAUAGCAGUGUAGUGCAGAGUGGCGAAUACUAGUUGUAUGUCAACUACAGAAGAUCACUGAUGCUAGGAUAGCAUAUUACCAUACCAGUUAUGUACUCAAUGCCCCUUCAGGUUUCGUUUAAUGGAACCUCUGGUUUUGGAAGAGUCCGAGCGUGGCUGAGACCUCAUCCUUCCUGAGUCAUGUGGUCGCUCAGUUGAUGGAAGCACCCAUCCUCUUGUGUGCUUUUGACUGCUGUUGUUACCACUCCCUACACGACCACACAUGGAUAUAGAGUUAAACAUCAUUGGGUUAAUAUGGCAGAGCAAUUAAGCCAUGCAAAAACAAACUAAAAGAUUAUUAGGCUUUUCUGUUAAAAAAGAAACAGUCACAAAGAAAGGAGUCAAUUUCAAAGGGUCAGUAUGACUGAUGCAUUAAUCAAGGUUGACAAAAGCAAAAUCCUAAAAGGAAUAAGUUGUUUGCAACCAAAGAGCCCACAAGUAGCAGUGGCCAACAAAUGCAUAGGCCACAGAAAAUUGUUAUAAAUGAGGUUGUUUGGAUUCUGCAUAUAUAGUUGCUCUUUAACUAAAGAACAGGAAUGGCAACUGGUCUUCAAAGGCAUAGAAGCAAGCAGAAGUUGUGCAAACUGUAAAGGAGGUAAGAAGCAACACGAGGUAAUGAGUGAGAGGAGAGAAAUAUCAAAAUACAAACUUUACCUUAACCCUAAAAAUGUGACAUGUAGUAUUUUGAAUUGUAAGUCUGUAUGAGGGUUUAGUUUCAUAUGCACAUGUUGCAAGUGACUUAGAGACAAGCAAAUGCUUGCAAAUGUAUUAACUACCAGAAGAAAAACUUACAGGCAGUUCACUUGCAGGGAACCAAACACCCCGUAGUGAAUGCUUAAAGUGAGAGACUUAAAAAAGGCACACAUAAGUGAAGCAAGGUGUACUUAUUUUCAAGCAUCAAAGAAAAAGGAAGAGCAAUUCUAGAGUCCACGUAUUCCAAAAUCCAGUCCAUGGUCAAGCAAGAAACAACUGGUGGAUAUUGAUGGCCAGGCAAGCGGUAGCAAUGGCUGUCACCAUGCUACUGCUUUUGCCAAGCAAGAUGAGCAGCUUUUGCCACCAAGCCAAGAAAGGAGCAGCCACUGCUUCAGUUGACCACUGCAGUUGCCAGCAUCCCAAGUGACACUAAUCUAGCAUCCUGAAAGGUGGGAGGAAAAAGAAGAGAAAUAGGAACAAUUAAUAAAAAUUUUGCUCAUCAUUGUAACCCAUCCACAGAAUAUCAACUGGCCACCUUUGGAACCAGCAGAUCAUGGAUUGCCAAUUAUUUUCUCCUGAUACUGAAUUACGACCUUGUUGUUGUUGUUGUUAUUGUACACAGGAUACUGUCAAUUUUGAAACAGGAAUUGAUGUAUGGGUUCACAGAUGGGUCAACCAGGGGCAUUAAGUGUACAGUGGUUGCUUGAUACUGUUAUGAAUGUACAGUUGCAACGGCUUUGCCUAGAUGCAUUAGAAGAGGCUUUGGCUCACAUUAAACUCACCCAAGUGCAUAGGUGAGCCAAGCAUAUGCCUGAUUUAACACAGGUAUAUCAUGUUAAUCCUGAACCAACUCAACAGACAGCGCCCUUGCUAAAACCUUUGCAGAACAAAGAUUUCAUCGUGAAGCCAUUCAAAUUCUAAGCAUAAGAAAAUCAUUGUAUUAGUCACAGUGAUGAAAAAGAUCAUUUUAUCAAAUAUUUUAUUGACACUUCUUUUUGGUGUUUUGUAUUGACAAUCACCUACCAGUCGACCACCAAAACCAUACUGUCGAAUAAUAGUGCAUGCGGCCACCACCAAUCCAUUAUCAAACAGAAGCUGAGUAGGAUCUUACAACAUACUGCAUAGACUAUUCUAUGCACCACAUCAGAGGCCAUCAUAACCCUUAAAAGCAACCAAAUUUCAACUAAAUUAAGUUCUUCGGUGAAAAUAUACAGGAUAAUAUAUUCUCUUAGGAAAAUUUCCAAGUUCAUCCUGGAAACAAAUUAGAGGAACAUUGGUAUUCUCUUCAUCCAGCUUUUGUGCAUUUGAGUGCAGCAUGCUUUUAUGAUAAUGAAGUAACUCAUACUACAAGAGAAAGUAUAAAAUGUCAUUGAGAACUAAAAUUAAAAGAAAGGAGCAAUGUAAAAACGUGCAUCAUCUGACAUUUCACUCGUUCUUGAAAAUUCUUCACUUGUACAAAAGAUUUUGCUGAUUGACUAACCUAGUUCAUCAUGGAAACAAAGUAGAGAAGCCUUGGGUUUUUUUUUCCAAUAGAUUCUAUGCAAUUGAGUGCAGGAAAGCUACUGUGAUACUGGAGCAACUCAUAUUUGGCCAAUUGACAUUGACUAGAGCAAGAACAUUACAAUUGAAAAGUAUGGACAAAUGUCAUUGAACACAUUACAUACUAGUUUUCGAAGAUCUUCACUAGUCCGUAGGUUUUAUCUUAUGUCUAAUCUCUUAAUUUACUACCUAUCUAGAGCAGAACCAAUAUUCAUCAAAAUCCAAUGGGAUUUCAAAUUUUAUACUGCUCCACUAGCAUUCCUUCCUAUUUGGAACUCCCAAUUAACGUGACCACAUGCACAUAGACAUGGAAGUAUGGUGCUGAUAUUAUGUGAACAAGACUUAAGAGAAAAAGUUUAACGUUACAGUAAAACCGAUCAUAAGAAAGGAACUUCUCUACCCUCAGAAUUAGACAAUCUACAACAACCCCAAUGCACCAUGGGCAUUGCUAAACUACCAUGAAGAUUAAAAUUUUCUAUGUAACAUGCCCUAGCUAAUUUAACAAUCUCAUCAAAAAUUGAAAAUACUAUUUUAACAAUGUUACUUUCGUAUAGGGCAUGCCAUUCUAUUAGGGAGAGGUAUACAGCUACACAAAGAUGCAUGACAAAAAACCUUUUUACAAAUUAUAUUUUUAGAAAGUACGAAGAUCAACCUAAACUAGUAUGUCUUGAUGCAACAUAGUGACUUUUCAUUUGAACUUCAUUCAACUAGCCCCCUAGAAUUUGGUGUCUCUUGUUAAACCUCUGCAUUUCAUUUUUUUUUCCUUUUGUUCUUCCUCUUCCAGAACUACUAUCAACUCCUCUUCAUCACUUUAUAUGGUGUCUUCCUUGCACUUCUCCUCGACAUAGGCUAAUACUGCUAUUGUUGUCUUCAUCUAUUUCUAUUAUAAUUUUGACUAUUAUUGUGUUAUCCAUGAUGUCAAUAAAAAGUUAACUAUAUAUCCAACACAUUUAGAAUGUUCUAUCGAAACAUAAAAGAAACCCAUAUAACUAGAAACCCAAAGAGCUAAGGGAUGAUAGGGCAAUAUAGCAUAUGAGGCUCUUACCGAUCUGGGCCCAAGAGGAUCACCCUUGCAAGCAAAGAUGUUGUUUCUAUAACUCUAAAUAUUGGGCACCAAGUCCUCGAAAGGUGCAAUUUUACAAUAGUGCUAAGGCUCAUUAACGCAUGGAGACAAACGGCUAUUGCCCAAUAAUAUCAGAGUAUGGUAAAUCCAAUUGAUGCAAAUGACAAGUGCAUGGCAUGACAAACCAAAAUCUCAAGGACUUGAUCAUCCAGAGGAAUGGUUGGAGAUAUUGGACAUCAGAAUACUCCAGAACUAUAUUUUACUCAAGGGAGCCACUAUGUGUUUAGAGGUUAUGAUCAGGCACAAAACAUACAUAUAUCAUCAUUGGUGGAGCCCUGCAACAUGAUGUGGAAGCCAUGCGAAGAAAUUGCAACAUGACUUUCCUUCAAGGGAAAGGACCUACUUUGAGAACACAUGCAGCAGUGUGAACUAGCUAAUCAAAAGGGGCAAGGAAAUGACAGUUAGCAGGACUCAACUAGCUAACAAGUGCAUCGGAUAUUUUGUAUUGAACACACAUCAAUACCAAUGCAAAAUUAACAAAAACUAUCCAACAACAAGAACUUAAUGGGAAGUAGUUCUUUAUUAUGAAAUCCAACAUAACACCUAGUACAUAAACCAAGAAGAAGCCACAAAAUUAUAUGUUAAUAUGCUCUCAUAUAUUUAUUUUCUCACUUCAUGCAGGAUAUUAACCAUAGUGCUCCAUGAAUAACAAUAUACAGAAGACCACAACAUAUUGUAACUGGCUACAUAAUCAAAUGCAGAAAAAUCAUUCAAUAUAGUUCAGUCUUAAGUUAGUUAAUCCGAAAAAUAACUACUUACUUAAGUUCCGAUCAUCAAGCAAAUCAAGUCCUGGCUUCCAUCCAGGCAAGUGUUGUUUAGCAUUCCCCUUCCAGUCUUCCUCGAAAACAGGCAGCUCAUCUGAUGGUUUAAAGCAAAUUGCAGUUAAAUGAAAUAAACAAAGAAUAUAAUCAUCCUCUUAGCUGCAGCACAAAAUUGUGCCAGACCUUCAUUCAAAUUAUGUAAUGUCUGUAGUGUGUCUACCCUCCCAUCUGAAUUUAGUUUUCUUGUUAGUGAGUGACCCUACAAAGACGAUGAAAAGGGUGCCUUAAGUAAUAUAGCAUAUAAACUACAUUUAACAAAAAAUGAUUCAUUAUAAUCAAGUAUCUCGAAAGUAUAUUUAAUGUGAAAAAUAAUCUAUGUUCAUAUGUACUUUGUCACGGAUCCCUCGAGAAAUCCUGUGUGUAGCUCUACCGGUAGUAGUAUCGGCCUCCUUGUUCUCCUCCAUAACAAACUGUCAUAGUCAAGAAGGGAGGUAGUACUAAUAUAAAUAAUCAGAAGAUCAUUACAGUCAUGCAAUGUUCCAAACAAAUUUACAAAAACAAAAAAAAUAGUGCAUUAGUUCACUAAGCCUGAUUACUCACUCCAUCACCACCCAUUCUCCUUGUAGUAGAUGAAGUGUAAUAUGCUCCAUUUGGACCACCAUAAGUCACUGUUGAGCUCUGGAAAGUAAUAGAGUGACUAUGUGAUUGCAUCCUAUCAGACUGGUUGAAGUUGUUCACAUAUUGCAUACGCCUUCUCUUAUUUGCUGCAAAAACCAAACCUUCUCAGGAAUCUUGCACCGCUUAGAAAUAUUAUCAUUUUGAACCCUACAACUACUAUGAAAAAGGGAACCAACAGAUAAGUCUAUACACCUUCAACUACUUCAUCAGGAUCCUGAACAUACGGCUCUUUGCUUGUUCUAGAAUGUUUUCUUGGGUUCUCUUUCUGCUCCUUGUCAGUCUCUUCUCCUCCAUUAUCAUCAUCAGACAGUUCUUGAAUGAUCGGACCCUUUGACUUAUUGACAUAAGGAGCCUGCUCCAAGAACCCAACUCUACUGGUCUCUCCAAAAACGCUCCCUCGAUCAGCAAACAUGCUGGGACCAAACAUGCUUGGUCGGAACAUGCUAAGGCCCAUCAAGCUUCCAAAAGGCUGCGUGAAGAAAGGGUCAUCGAAGGGAUCUCUCCCACCAAAAAAGCCAGAAAUCAGACUCCCUGGUCUGCUGAGGCCACCAGAUCCAGCAAAUGGAUCCCCAAAACCAAAGAAGUCACCCAUACCGCCUCUGCCAUUCUGCAUAUUCUCUGAACAUAAAUCUGAACACAUGGGAAAAAACCGAGACUGUUCAAGAAAAUGUAAAUGUUACACUAAACAAAAGGAAAAACGCGAUCGAUGAGAGAAACGAAACAAGAUCUUUUUUGUUUUCCCAACAUAUUGGUUGAAUCGAUUAAAACCAUGACAGAACAAACCAAUUGCAUAAAAAUCGAAAAUGUCAAACCCAAUAAUUCGGCUUUAUCCAUUAUCCAUAUGUGACAUUUCUCCAAAAUCCAUUCUCAAAGCCCAUUUAUUCAGUUAUCAAGCAGGCAGAAUACCAACAAAACCAAGUGAUACAAGAACACGUCAAUAGGGAACCAACAGAAACGAGAAAAACGGAAAAAAAAAAAAAAAAAGUGUUUUCAAAGAUGAUCAAUAGAUCAAAAUACUACAUUUUUCAUACCGACUAAACGAAAACCAAAACACCAGCAACCAAAUCCAAAUAGACCGAACUCCUAACCCACAUCGAAUGGAAAGCCAAAGUACCCUAACAGCAGAUCCGAAUCGAGGGUAGAAGUCUCGAUCAACACUUCCAUGGGAACCCUAGAAAACGUUUGGGUACACGAUCCGAGGAAAACAGAUUAAAAAAAAAAGGAGAAUGAAGAAAAUUACGGACCCCGAGAGAUCGAAUCGGAGCGACGUGGCCACCGGUGGCGGCCAACUCGAUCGGCAAGCCUCGGAGAUCGUAAUCGAGCGCCCGAUCUGUGGGAGACUCGGGAGCGAUCGACGACGAAGACGAGAGGUUUCCGCGUCGUCUUAUAACUGGAGCAGGAAGCAACUUAAUGGAACCGACAGAAUAAGAAAAAAAAAAAAACAUUCAUUAUAUUUAUUAUAGUAUUACAAAGGGCGAUUUUAUUUUUUUUCAAAAAAAUACUUUCUAUUAUUUCUCAAAUAGUAUUCCUAAUUUUUAUAAUAUUUUUAUUUAACUUAUUUAUAUUUUUUUAAUAAUAUUAUAAUAUUUGAUUAAGUUAUUAAAAAUAUUAAAAAUAAUAUAUUAUUAUACAUAUUAUAUCUCUUUAGUUGUGAUUGCUCGUACACCAUUAUAAUAUAAAAUUUUUAGACUUUAAUUGAUUUGAUUGAGAUUAUGGAUCUAUUUAUAUCAUCUAUAUUAUUUUUGUUAAAUACUGUAGUAGAUCAAAUCACUAUAACAAGCUAAAAUACUAUAAUUGAUUAAAAAAAGUAUCAUUAAGUUGGUGAGAAGUAUUUUGGAUAUUAUUUAAAACAAGAGACACCAUUUGAGAAAAUUAAAAACAAGAGAUAUUUUUGGGAAUUUUUUUUCUAGGAAAUUACCCUAUUAUAAAUGACCAAUUUCUUGUAUUUUUAGCAAAUAAUACUCCUCAUUACUAAAAUGGGUAGUGGGAUCCAUCGUUUAUUCAAAAAUACUAUAAUGGAGUAAUGUCCAAUUUUUUUUCUAUUAUCAUCCUUUAACAACAAAUAAACAUAUAUAUAUUAAAGAUUUUCCAAAGUAAAUUCCUAAACUUAGAAUUAGGCAAAAAAAUUAAAAAUUUAAAAUAUAUCAAAACCUUUAUAAUUUUUAUCCAAAUAUACUCAAGUUCUCGUUCAAAUAACUUUAUAAUACCUCCAAUUGAAUAAUGAAGUUGAUAAUUAUAUUAAUUUUUAAUAUUUUUCAAUAAACUUAUUGUCUUCGUUUCAUAAUCAAAGACAUAGUAAAUCAAUUUGAUUUACUACUAAAUUGAUCUAACCAAGUCAAUCUAAUUAGAUUUUCAAUGAAAAAUCUAAAACAUAGAUGUUGUAAGUUUAUCAUUUCCGGAAAAAAAAAAGAAAGAGGUAAGACUGUCUUUAGGCAUAUGAAAAUAGGAUAAAUUAUUCGUAAAAAAAUCUAAAUAGUUGAAGUUCUAAGUAUAUUUUGUACAUACACAAAUUCUAAAUAUUAAUGAUAAAUCAUUAAUGUUUUUUCUUAAUAUACAUAAGCUAAGUGUUCACUUAAUAUCCUAAGCAAAACGAGUGAAACAAGCAAAAAGGGAAAGCAAGAGCCAACUACACAUUCACAAUAAUUUAUUACCAUUAUUUUUUAAAAAAAUAUUAUAUGAAAUAAUGUAUUUGAUGCUCACAAGUGUAUUCAAAGCUGAGAUUUAUCAUUUGUGUAACAAAUACAUUAAUUAACCUAUAUGUCUCAAUAAAGAUAUUACCAUUAACUUGUUGACAUAACAAAUAACAUCAAACUUUCUAUGUUUUAAUUGCAGUAGUCUCACUCUACAUUUCCAUGCAACAACAUUUAAUAUAAGUUCUUGACAUCUAUUAAAUUAAAAAAUAUAAAUAAAAAAUAAAGAUUGACAAGAAAGAUUCGAUAAAGGACAAAAGCUAGUGCUUCCACUACGAUAAAGACGGAUAUUAAAAGAGAAACAGCAAAGAGUACCUUACAGAGAAGGCGAAACAAAAACUAAGAUAAGUUUCAUGUACAUUCAUGAUCAGUCUCUAUUUAUUAAAUUUUUAUGAUAACACAUAGGUAUUAGAUAUCGACAGUACUUAUCAUAUUUGUAAUUCGUUAUAGAUUUUGGUAAUACCUAGGAGAUUGGCAAGAGGCGAAAUGGACCUCAAGAUAAACAACGGAGCAAAAGUUGUUACAACGACUAUUGGUGAGGUCACCCUACAUCUGUCUAGUGGAGCUACUAUUACAUUGGAUUUAUGUUAUUUUUUCCUUCUAUUAUCAAAAAUAUUAUUUUUAUUUUAUGUUUGACAAUUAGUAAAUAUAAAUUAGUUUUUGAGAACAAUGGUUAUUCAGUAAUAUUGGAAGAAAAAAUCAUCAUAAGAGAAACAUUGUAUAAUGGUUUAUUUAUGCUAGACACUGUUCCACAUAUUAUAAAUACAAGUAUGUCUAAGAAGAAAUGAGAUGAAGUGAACAAUGCAUACAUGUAACCUUGUAUGCUAGGUUAUAUCCACGAGGGAAGGAUUCAAAAGUUGCUGAAUGAUGGAUAUUUAGAUCCAUUCGACUAUGAGUCAUAUGCAACUUGUGAAUAUUAUCUUUGAGAGGAUUCGAAGAGUAUUUUUAUUUUCUUUUAUAUAUUCAUAAUAAAAUUUAUAUGUUUGAAAUCUUAAAAUUAAGUUCAAAAUGCUCUUAAUACUACUCAACAAACCCUGGGUUUCGUUUCCUUCCUAUUUAGGAAUUUUAUAAUCGCUUCAUAUAUGAUUCAAUCUUCAAAUUUAUGAUACAAUAAUCAAACGCUCAUUCCACAAAAUAAGUAAUCAAUUCAUAUGUUAAUAACAUGGAGAAACCUACAACCUGUAAGCAUAUAGAGAUUUGUUUAGUCUCUAAGAAUCAAUCCCACACCUCUAACACUAUCUUAGAUAUUGAUAAUAAUAUUUAGUCUCACAUUGAUCGAGAUGUAGGAGAAUCAAGGAUUUGUAAGUCCACCCGAUCACCCUUAAUUUUAGAGGUAUUUUUUGAUACUCAUGAGUUUCGAAAGGACAAAAUCGUAACGACAUUUUUAGUACCAUCCAUUUUUAUGUUUGAACCUGAUUAUAAGUAUUUGACAAAUAUCCUUCAAACUAUUAUAAAAGUUUUUAGUAUGACAUAUAUGUUAUAGCUUUGCAAAUAAAAAAAAAAAAGAGUAUUUUGCUCCAUUAAAAGCUUCCUCAUUUCGGAUCUUCCAUAUGCCUUUAAAUGGGCCGGGUUUAAAUAUUUAGCCCAAGAAGGCUCUGUUAAAUAUGGCCCCCUCGGUCGUUGCCUAUAUAAAGCAACAGACGUUAGGGUUUCCCGUGCUUUCCCCGCGGCCGCCUUCGCUUCCGGAGAUCUCAAUAGAGAGGCGAUCUUAGCAGGUUCGUAAUCGAAUGCUGAGAUGCUUUCUUUUGGUCUUUUAGCAACUUCUAGGGUAAUUAGCGACAAUCAGUAUUACGUGAUUCCUGCUGGUUACGAUGAUCUUGUGCCGCGGAUGAUUUUUGCGUCCUGCGAACGAUUGUUAGGAAAAUAAGAUCUGAAUAUGGUGUCAUUUAUGUUUCUUAAGAUCGUAAUAUUUAGGUUUUGUAAUGCUUGUUGAUUGGGACCAGCGGCUAUAGUGAUGUGUCCUCAAGAUGGUCGAUGAGGAGAAGUAAAACAUUAGUUUUAACUUUCUUUGCUAGCUAAUCCAUCAUCCUCCAUAUAUAUGAGGUGUACAGUUCGAUAAAAAAACCCUAUCUUUUUGUCUUCUUAAAGAUGCAGUUUACUAGUUGUGUAUCAGGUUUGAGGCCAACUAUCUAUUCUAUAUUUUCUUAACUUCAGAAAGGGUUGAUGAAUCGAGGUUGAGACCAACAAUUUAUUUCCUCAAGAUAAAGGAAUUGUGGUGAUCAUCAAAAGAUUUUUGUAGAACCUUUUUAUAUGCUUCUCCAAGUAAUAAAAUAGAACUUGGAUGAGUACCAGAAUGUCCAUGUUUCAUAUAUCUUGGUUUAACUCUAUUCACAAUGGUUCACUUCUUGGUGUAUAAACUGUGAAGUAUGUCAUCCUCCAUAUAUGGUACCUUAUGUUACUUGACACACAAAAGUCUUAAGAAAUUUUAAUGUAGAAUUGUUGAUCUAGUGCUGUUUUUUUUUUGCUAGUAUGAUGCUGUUGGGUGCAAAUUGGAUUAUCUGUGUCCCAUUUAUUUUCGCAAUCAUCCAAUUCAUUCUUGUUUUUAUGUUUUUGAAUUUUCUUCAUCUUAAGUUUUGCAUACCUUCUCUUUGUAUCUUAUAAAAUUUAAAUAUUGGGGCUAAUUUUUGGGACAAUCUUGUUUUUUGAAAUUGAUGUGGUUGAUGAAAAUAUAAUUUGUAGAGAAAAAUGCUGCUUUCCCUCUAAUGCAGAGUUGCUAUUAGCCAUAUGAUAUCACCAUUGAUCUCACAGCCCAUUUAUUUGCUUUCUCAAUGGGACAUUGUGCCAUAAUGAGUUUGCAACACCAGUUCCAGUGGCAUUUUGCUCACUGUGUCUCUUUGCCUUUAAUCUGGUUUUAAUUGUCAAGCUGUUCUUCUGGUUUAUGUUUAUUUUUUUUUAAAAGUUGAUUUAUGCUGAGCACUUGAUCUGAUGUAGUCUAUUUAACUUGUUUGGUCAGCAUGGAUACUCAAGCUAAACUUGCAGUUGUGGUGAAAGUGAUGGGCCGAACUGGAUCUAGAGGUCAGGUAACCCAGGUCAGGGUUAAAUUUUUGGAUGACCAAAACCGGCUGAUCAUGAGGAACGUGAAAGGCCCUGUGAGGGAAGGUGACAUCCUCACCCUUCUUGAGUCUGAAAGGGAGGCUAGGAGAUUACGGUGAUGACUUUCAUGUCAAUGUUGCCUACAUUAGUAGGGUAACUCUAUUAAGCUACAGAUUUGUCCUUCUCUGCCAUGGUCUUUCUGGUUCUAUGGCAUUAGUUUCUAUUACUUAGUCGCUUUAUUAUGAGCUGUAUCGAGCCAAGAAACUGUUUUUUCCUCUAAUGAGUCAUUUAACUCUCAAUGUUUGAACAUUUUUUAUGCUCAUGUCAUCUCUCUCUCUCUCUCUCUCUCUCUCUCUGUUGCUCUGCUUUUCUAUUAAAGAUGUUUUUGACUUACCGCACGUUGUGCAUUGAUGGCAAGUUCUAUGUAGAUGAGUUAAACAUGAACUUCGCAUCAUGAAGCGUUUAUGAUGUCUACCGAUGCUUAUCUGUGGCUUCAGUGGUUGUGUUAAAAAAUUAUGAUUAUAAGAUGAGGAUUUAAAUCCUCAAUUAAAUUGUUGAAUCGCCGGUUCUUAUUGUUUUUAUCAAUUAAUUGAUAUAAAGAAAAAAAAGUUUGAAGUGUUGUUUAGAAUUCAUUUGUGUUUCAUUUUUCUUCAGUUAGUUUGGAAUCGAAUUAAAAUUCAAAUCGUAAUUCUUGAUUGUUGAUUGUUUUUUGUGUUGUAUUGUGAUUGUCGAUUUUUUGUCGGUUUGAAUGGUACUGUGAUGUCGGAAUUAACGUACAUCACAUGGUAGUUAAACAAUAUUAACUAUUUUAAAUCACCAAGGCACGUUAAUGACAUGAAAUAGAUCAUCAUAUCAUUAAUCUCGUCACUACUAAAUAAUAAACAGAGCAUUGAGUAGGACACACGCAUCAAAACCUAUAAUAUUAAUCUAAUUAGAAAACCAAUAUAUUGAUCUCAGAUGCUCUCAUCACAAUCAACCAUUUGUGCUACCAAUUUGACCUCUACACCACAGAUGUCAAAGAUAUUUAUAAAUAUUUUUUGAAAUUUUUAUCCAUAAAUUUCGAAAACUUUAACAGUCAAAAAGGAACUUUAUUUAUUAAAUUGUAAUAUCCUCUCACACGUGUAAGUUCGAUUGGUAUAUAAAAUUAAACUAUAUAUAUGGGACAAACUAAUUAAAAGGAAAAUAUUUUACAUAAAUUAUAUAUAGGUCUAUACAAGAUUUAUUUCAUAAUUCACUGUGAUAUUAUGGUAAUAUUUUUGAAUUGGACACUACAAAUCCCAAUAGCUACUUUGAACAGUUAAAAGUGUAUCAUUAAAUUAGUUACGCAGUUCAAGAUUCAUAUACCCACUUUUAUCUCACACAGUAAUCAGCACAUCUGCGGCGGGACCCGUUAGGGGUCCACUGACGGCUUCUCACGUUCAGGGUCCAAGCUGUUCCCAACCAUAAGAUUCCCGCACCGCGACCUCUUAUCAAAUAGCGGUUCACCUCCACCGUGUGGAUGGCAGAGUAGGCAUUCGUCGGUGAGCUCCGACUCUACCCCAUGGCUCUUCUCUCCUCCUCCUCACAUCGAACCUCUCUGGCUUCUUCCUGCCCUCAAUUCUAUGCUGCCACCUCCCACGCCGACUCCAUCGGCUUCCGACAUCGCUCGCGCCUCCCUACUAGACCGAGACCCCCAAUCUCCUUCCUUCGGGCCUCCUCCCCGACACACUCUCUCUUAGGCGCCAUUCCUCGCAGCCAUGGCCGACCUCGCGGAAGAUCCCCGCGUUUCUUUGUCUCGGUAUGUUCUGCACGUGCAUCUCCCUGAAAAUGCUCGAUUUUGAAUUGCCCAAAUUCGAUUCUUUCACAUGUGACGUACAUCGGUUUGCUAGUGCGGAUAAUUAUCAGGAAAUGCAUAUUUAGUUCUUGAUGUUCUGCUGCGUUCAAAAUCAUCUUUUUCAGUUUUUAUAUGAUUUGAAUGCGUUAAGAAAAUUGGAUUGAUCGGUUUUAAGGGGAUUGAGAUGACCGAGUAUGACCUUCAAUUUCAUUGCUUAAAGAUACAUGGUUUCUGGAACUUAAAUGUCAUUUUCUCACAGGAAGUUCCUUUCUAGGGAAUAUAAGUCUGAGACUCGCUAUUUCACAGGAAUAGAAGAGUAGGCUAAUCUUGUAUUUGUUUUGAUUUUCAUUUCCAAAUGUCGUAGUAUGCUCGUGAAAAGAAUUAAGACCUUGAAUACUCUUGCUUCUCAUGUUUUCGUGUCUUGUUUCAUCAUCAAAGUGUGAAGCAGCAAACAUACUGUUUGGGAACUUUCUGCCAAAACCUAAAUCCUUGCUUUUAAUGAUGCUUACUAGUUUCUUCUUGAUCUUUAUUUAACCAAUUCUCAAAGAAAAAUGUUCAUAUCAUGCAUAAAACUUCUGUUUACUUUCAGUAAGCCUUCUAUUCUUUUUCAAAAUUUGUUGAAUUGUAUAGAUUUCUGUUAUGUUCUAAAUUCUACAAACUAAAACAUUGUUCGAGCCUCUCAUUCAUUUCAAUCUUUUAUCUAAUAAAAGAAUUUGUCACAUGUUUUUGGUUGUUUUCCUAAAUCAUUAGAUAUCAUCACUCAACUACUUUAAGGUUUCAUAUUAUUGCAUAAUUUGCUUGAGUCUGUUGUCCUUGUCUUGAUUUUUCAAUUAUAAAUACAUCAAAAGUAUAAUAUAGACUUAACAUUCAUCUUAGUGAAACAUUUUUUUAAAGAAAAAGUUCCAUCAGCAGAAAUUGCCAAUUCUCAGAUCUCAUGCUUCUAGGCUAUCAUGGUAAUAUUAAGGGUAUGAUCAAGCACCUUGUGAUGUUGUCAUAGUGCUUUAAAGUUCCUUAUCACUUACCACAUCUUAAUGUCAACUAUGAAGAAGGGUAUGGUUCAGAGUUCAUUUUUUUGUUUUGGUUUGCUUGUUUAUACUGGUGCAUUCUCAUGCACAAUUUCAUAUCUAUACCCAAUAUACCCAACAUACCUAUAAGUUGACCUGGCGUAAUUCAGUACAAGCAAUGCAGUCUCAUGCUGUACUAGUUGGCCACCACCACAGGCUGGAAAAUUGAUCGAAGAGAGCAUCAUAAAGAUUUCAAGUUUACUUUUUGUGCUAUCUGUUAAAUACUUAUCCUCUCUCCAUUUAAUAUUUUAUUGCCUUGUGAACCAAGUGUUUGUUUCUUGCAAUCACUUUCAGUGCCUUGCUUGAACCUUCUGAUUUAUAUCUAGAUCUCACAUUUAGAUAUACUUCCGCUGUCUGACCUUGUUAGAGUGUUCAAAUUUCCUAAAGGUUGUCUAAGUGAGUCCAAUUUGAAUAUAGUACAAGAUACUUGGUUUGUCAUCAAGUUAAUUACCUGGUUUUUGAAAUAUGUAUAUUCAGUAGUGUUGUAAUUAACUAUUGUAUUUAAUUAGCUCAGUGAACUACAAGAGUGUGAUCUUUAUUGAGGGAAUGAAUUCUGCAAGAAUUUAAUUAAGGUAAUCUAACAUAGUACUCCCUGUGCCUAUUUCAAGAAAAAGGUUGGGUUGUUGAUUUCUUAACACAAUUGCAAAAUUUGGUGGAAACAUGAGUUGGUUGGGUUCUAAUUUUGGAACGGCUAUUUUCUGAUGAUCCCUGUUUUCAGAAUACAGAAUUUGUUCUGAAAGGCUAAGUCAAUAGUUGCUAGUGGUUGGUUUUGGAAAGUCAUUGUUUGGCACGCAACAUACUGAAAGGACAAAGUUGAAGCUUUGCCAGACCUACAAAAGUCACCAUUACUUGUAAAGAAAUUACAAACUAUGAUAAAAAAAACAGGUGUCCUGAUAAAUUCAUAUUAAAAGACUACUUAUUGGUGAAAACUUAAUAGUUCUGAUAAUUUUGCAUCAGAACAAGUUAUAGAUGUUAACAUGUACGCAACACUAGUUAAAAAUACAAUGAAAUUCAUUUAUCUGCAAUCUUAUUGUUAACAUGUAUGCCCUACUGGUCUGUCGUGAACUAGAAAUACACGUUGUCAAAAUCCAAUCUGCAUAAAUUUGUUCAAAUAAAGAUGCUGAGGACCUAGUGGAAACCAAAAUUGAACUGCAAUCUUUUGACAUUACAAUUUAAGGGCCAAAUCAAAAUUGAAAAUCAAACCAAAUUAGAUUUGGAACUUGUGUUUGAGACCAAGCCAACAAUUUUUUGUGUUGUUACACUUUGAAGGCCAAGUUGAAAUUGAAUCCAAUUAGAGGUUUCAGCCUCUCUGAUGUGAUUUUAGCCAAUACAUAUAUGUGCAAAACAGCAACAAGGUAAUGUAUAGCAUGCGCAAACAAUGUAAUUCGUGAUUAAUUUGUAGGUACAACUAUUGCAGCUUUGUGAACUGACAGAAAUGUCAUGAUUCAUAUACAUAACCUUUUAUUAGUUUAUUUUCAAUAAAUGAGGUUUUAUAACUGAGAUUCACUUCUGUUUAAUAUGGCUUUUUAUGCAUAAUUUCUCUGUUUAGAUAUAAAGAUUCAAUACUUCUUUGGAACUAUAACUAUGAUGCCAAAUUUGCGAGAUGAUGACAUUAUAUAAUCAUUGUGAUAAUGCUCUAAUAUUUGGAAGCAUCUUACAAAUUUUAGCUGCAACACCUUGUGUACAAGACUAACAAUUAUAUAGUGUUCUACAAUGCAUGGUUGUUUGCAAUAUGAAUUGGUUUAACUUGAGGCAAUUGGGAAGAACUGCCCAGUAUACAUCCUUUGAAGUUCUAGACUCUUAGCUUAUUCUUCAUUGCACCUUCCAAUAACCAUGUUUGUGACCUUUUCUCUUGAUAGGAUCGAAAAUAAUUUGACGUCUCUGUGACAUCUAUUAUGAAUCAUGUUCUGCCUUGUCAACAACAUCAAAGUGAAAGCAAUUAAAGAGUAAUUUUUCAGUCACAAGUUUGUUUUCAUCCUUGAAAAACAUAUCAGUCAAAACUUAAUGACCUCUUAGUAUCUUUUUUUAAUUUUCUGCUACUCAUGUUUGUUUUCUCAUGAUUUGUGAAAGAUAUAAAUAUAACAUACAAAGGUAUAGUUAUCUUUUCUACAUAAACAAAUAACUGAAUUAACUUCACAUGCUAGGCAGGCAUGUUCUAAAGCUGAUGCUGCUGGUUCCAGUACAUUAACAACAAAAUUGUCAGAAUUCAGAGAUUCAUGUUGGAGAUUUUUAAGGCCUCAUACUAUUCGUGGGACUGCAUUGGGUUCCAUGUAAGAACUUCAGAAUUUAUUGUAUAAAGAUAGUGAACGAAUUGUUCAAAUUUUGAUAUCAAUCUUGAGUUUAGUUCUCUAUAGUUCUAACUCUCUGCUGUUUCUCAUCUGUGCUUUGUUUUUCUGUUUCUUUUUUAUUAAUGACAGAGCUUUAGUUGCAAAAGCUUUGAUGGAGAAUCCAAAUCUUAUAAACUGGUGGUUGACAUUCAAGGCAUUUUAUGGACUUGCAGCUCUUAUUUGUGGCAAUGGUUAUAUAGUGGGCAUUAAUCAGAUUUAUGAUAUUGGAAUUGACAAGUAUGAUAAACUCUGCUUGCAACUUACCAAAUCUGUUAUAUGUAUGAUUUUGUUUACUUAAAGAUUUUACCUCUGUGCACAUGACAUAUCUCAUACUCCUAUUAAUCUGAUUGCAUGACCAUCUGUUUCCUUAUCCUUUUUCCUUCUCAUCUUUGGUAACUUGUGUUUCUGGAAUUUUGCAGGGUGAACAAGCCAUAUUUGCCUAUAGCUGCAGGAGACCUUUCAGUUCAGUCUGCAUGGAUUUUAGUAUUGUUAUUUGCAGCAGCUGGCCUUCUGAUUGUAGCAUGGAAUUUUGGGCCAUUCAUUACUUCCCUUUAUUGUCUAGGACUUUUUCUAGGCACUAUAUAUUCUGUUCCUCCAUUUAGAUUAAAGAGAUUUCCAGUUGUGGCAUUUCUUAUCAUUGCCACGGUAUGCUUGGCCUUCUUUUCUCUUGAUUUUUGCAAAAUUAGAGGCUUCUACUUGUUCCUUAUGCAUAUUUUGAUAUAAAACUGAUCAAACAGUUAAUCCUUAUGAUACUGAAGUAUCUACUAUCUAGUUCUGUGGCUGCAUGAAUGCAAUUUAUCUAAGAAUUGGUUAGCAGCUAGGCUGAUUUGUAAUUCAUGUAGACAGUGUAUAGGUUACCCACAACAUGGAACAAUUUGUGCACUAACCACAAUUUUCAUGGAUAAUAAAUGUCAAACAUUUAUUAUACCUAUAACCUAUAGGAGAAAUUUAUUUUUAUGCAAUUAAUACACCCAUAAAUCUUAUCUAAGAAUACUUCUAAAUCUUCUUAGAUAUAAUAGCUUCAUGACUUCCUCAAACCAUGGUUCGCUUUAUCGGCCCGUACUGAUGUACCGACUAAUUGUUGGUAUAGUACAUACUGAGCUGUACCAAACCAUACCGAAUGUAUCAAUACAUGAUACAUGGGGUUGUACCGAUGUACCGCCCAUACCGGUCUCCUAUCGGAUUGGUACGUAUAGCCCGUAUCGAGCAGUGCACCAUGGUACGACAAACCUUGCCCCAAACCAUAUAAUACUUUGAAUUAAGACUUGGUAUACUCAAGUUUUUAACUUAUGACAUUUCGAAACAUAAGGAAUAAUGAUGAUAAAUAUCAUCAUUAAUUAUUCCAAACUUAACCGUGAAAGACCCAACUGAAUCUCAUCCUACAUCAAUUAUGUUAAUGCUGGUCUCACUAACUUACAUGGUCUUCUUGAUCAAGUAGUAAUUUGCAUUAGUGCAUAUAGGGUUGACAAUAUAUUCACACUAAGUUUGCAAAAUGCUGAUCUUUUUUCUGGGUCACUCAUGUUGGGGAUUGCUCGACAACCAACUUUUGUCAAUAGGAAAAGACAGAUGAUGAUUGUUGUUUUCCUUUUGCUAGUGAAAAGUAUUUUUUUAAACAUUAUUGUUUCUGCAUAUUCAAAUACUGAUUUGUACUUAUUUACCAAUCUGAUAAGGACCAUGGUCCGAUACUAAUCAAUGUUUUAUUAUUGUCCUUUUGGAUAUAUUGAAUGGCAUGGGUUGGUAUGCCCCCUGAGGCCUGCUAUACUGGUAUUGCAUCUGAUCGAUAGAUUAUUAUUAAGUCUAAAACCGAUACCAAACAAAGACUUAAAUUCUUGUUUGUUUGUCUUAUCCUUCUUGGUGUUUUAUAUGGUUUAUAUCAUCUUUAUUCAAUUGGUUUUUUGCAGUAAUGCUUUUUCACUUUUUUUUUUGAGCUGCUAUUUUUAUUUGAAUUCCUUAUAUUCUCCUUGUACAUUCUCAGUUACUUGAUUAUACCAAAGCUUAUAAGCAAUAUGCUUAUAUUCCAAAUUACAUAUUAUGAUGGCUAGAGAUUGGCUUAUAUUUGUUGGAUAAGGUAUCUCUCAAUCACUAACUUUUUUCAACGGAAGCAAAUUGCGGAAAUUAAUUUCGGGUAAUGAGUCUAUGACAAAUGGUUCAAGCCUGGCUUAAGCUGGUCCAUAUACCAGACUGCUCUUGGGCUGUUAUUUACCACGUAUACUGUACUGGUCCAAGCAUUAACACAUUCAAUGGGAGCAAUAUUGUAUAUCAUUUUUGUAUAACUUUCCGUUCAAUAUGUGAAAUUAAUACAAAUUAGAUGUUGUUCUGUUUUAUGAAAUAGUAAUCAAGAUCACAUUCAUAAUUUCUCAAGCUGUAUUCACACAUACUCAGCCUUUUGGUGGAUAUCAGAUCAUAAUUAUUUGAAUUCUCAUUUCUUUUCUUUAUUUUUAUGGACAUAGUUUGUUCUACUGAUUAUCUUGUCUUUUUUUAUGACUACAAUUCCAUAGGUACGUGGCUUUCUUCUCAAUUUUGGUGUAUAUUAUGCUACUAGAGCUGCCUUGGGACUUUCUUUCAAAUGGAGGUAAAGAAUCUUUUGAUAUUAAUAAAUAAAAUUUGUUACUGGAAGCCAUAUGCAUACAAUAGUUUGUAACUGUAAACUAAAAUAUGUUUGUUUGAGCAAACAUGUAAAUGUUGUUUGUGCAUCUCAUUGCAGACACAUGCAGAGAUGAUGGUGAUGUUUAAUCCCAUAUAACAUCUUUCUAUCUGCAGUGCACCUGUCACUUUCAUCACAGCCUUCGUGACACUAUUCGCUUUGGUCAUUGCUAUAACAAAAGAUCUUCCAGAUGUUGAGGGAGACCGCAAGUGAGUAAUGAACUGCCCUCCAAAUUUGUAUGUAUGAUACAAAUGUCCUUCACAUUUUUCUCAAUCUUGGGUGCACUUGAUACACCUGACUGCAUAUUAAUUUGCCUUUCCAAGCACAAAAAAAACCAUGAAAUCUCCCCUGUACCAGGAAGCUAAACUAUUGCAUUGUCUUAUAUGUGAUUAAUGAAGAUAUUAGUAGAUUUAGACAUGUAUAAAAUAUCAGUCAAAAUGGGUUUGGUCCUCCAGGCAUUUCAUCUUUGUCUCUAGAAAGUCAAAGCAGAUCACUCUCCACAAUCAGGUUCUAACCCGUAUUUUAAGGCCUAGUCCAAUGCUUUCAAAGCAAAGGCUUCUGUCAUAAGCACAAUGUAUUCGAUAAAUGUCUUGCAUGAUGCACAUGUUAACCUGUAUGCAUCUAUUCUUCUUGCAUCACACCUGUGCAUAGUUAAUCAAUAUAUGCACAAAAGACUUGGAUCUUAUGGUACAUCCCAACCUAAAAGUCAAGUUUCUGUAAAUGAACCUCAGAUGGUAGAUGGCUACAUGAGAAGGAGAUUGAAUUUUGUUAAUGAAAACAUUUGUGUUGUCUCUGAGGUUUUUCUCAAGAAAUGUUCCUUGUCUUUUUCAUUUGCUCCCUGCUUAUGAUACUAUCUAGAAGUCUUUCUCAGGAAAUCAGGUUCGAUUUGAAAUCUUUUUUUCACUGUUAUUUUGUUAGCUUUACUUUUUCCUUCUUUUAUUUGUCUUCCUUUAUUUCCAUUUUGUUGUUAACACAAUUUAAUCAGAUUUAGAGACAGAACUAGUCUGCCCUGUCUGCCAUGGGCCUUAUUCUUUAGUCAUAGUAGGCAAAUUUUAUUAAUCCAUUCCCUCAUCUUCAAUUUACUGUUUCAAUCUAGGGUCUAAAUUUCCUAUUAUCUGGAUCUAGCAGAAUAGGCAUGCUCAUGUCCUUCCUCUUUAUGUCUGCACUGGUCAUCGUGCUUCGGGGAUAUUCUAGAUUGUCAUUUAGCAUAUUAUUGUAUGCAGAAAGUUUUAACCCAUAUAACUUAUAUCUUAUCCAGCUAACUGGCUUCUAUGUUGGCAAGGACUGCUUCUUGCUUAAAUCAACAUUAGUUUAACAUUGGGCACUGUAUGAUUAUCUUCCAUAAACCAUAAUGAUCUAGAGCUUUGCUCAGUAUGUUAAACUGUGUUGUCCUUGAAGUCAUAUAUGAUGCUGCUGUUUCCCCUUUAAACUUUUCUGACUCUACAGUUGUUCUUUGGAGAUGAGAUAAACAUUCACGCAAACAAAUUGUGAUUAUAAUUGUAAAUAUACUGACACUUGGAUCAUGUAUUGGUUCUACCAUUGAAACAUUAUUAGUUACCUUUAAGUAAUACUUGGUAUUUGACCCCAGUAUUCAUUUUUUUUGGCGAGAAAUAAGUAUAGCCUGUCAACCUGAGUACAAGCACUUGCACAGGGUAAUAAUACGUUGACUCAGAGUUUGGUCAUUACAUGGUUCACAUCCAAUUUAGAGUAUGGCAGUUGGUUAAUUAAUUUGAAGUGUCAAUCAAUUGGUCUUUAGUCAAUCUUGAGAGAUGCAUUGAUAUAAGAUUAUUUUACAGUAUGUCACAGCAUGAAUGUUGAGGGUAUUGCCCUUCCCAUGUAGAGUUAAAAAAUACUUGUACAUGUCAUACGUAUCAAGUAUUUCUUCCUUGGCUCACAUAUGCAAUUCUUCUUUAGAUUUCAGAUCUCAACCUUGGCAACAAAGCUUGGUGUCAGGAACAUUGCAUUCCUUGGUUCAGGUCUCCUAUUAGCAAAUUACCUUGGUGCUAUUCUUGUCGCAAUUUAUAUGCCUGAGGUGAACACAUUAUCCAAAAUCCUUUUUGCAAGUCUUGGUUCCUUCUUAAACUCAGUGCUUCAAUAUUUCUAAUGUUUGUCCACCUCUUUGUUAUAUGGUUUCGAAACUGGCUUAUGUCAUUGUAACUGUUGUUGGCAAAAAUGAAAGAUCUGUUUACUUUUCAUUCAGCUUUUGGUUGUAUUAACCGAGUGCUUCAGUGCAAGCAGCCAUGAUCUUUUUGCCUUUUUUUCUGAAUUAUUGUGCAUUUUCUUUCUCUUGAAAUCUGCCUUUUGUUUUACAGGCUUUUAGACGCAGCAUAAUGGUGCCAGCACAUGCUCUGUUAGCACUGGGAUUAAUUUUCCAGGUUAUAUCAUAUCUAAUUUCCCCGUGUUUAUAUUGCACCUUAAAAAACACUUCAAGUUCCUUGCCCCUCGUGAUUAACUGAUAACUCCAUUUAUGUUGAUAAUUCAUUUUGAAACUUGCCUUAAGAAGUUCUUGCUGAAACAUGGCAAACAACUUCUUGAUGAUUGGACUUUUUUUUUGUAACUUCUUAUAGAAUAAUAUAUUUUUUUGUUGAUGCUUCUUACUGUACUAUAUCAGAUUGGGCAUUUUGUGAAUCUUUAAGAGAUAGGCAUAGAGCUUGCCACACAUUACAUUUUUUGCUAUAAUUAUUUAAAGUUAAGUUGAAUUAAACCUAUAGAUGAUACUUAAAUGUUGUGAUAUAGGUCAAAUGAUCUAAGGUUCCAAAUACCAGACUUACCAUCUUGUAUGGUCUGGUACUUAAUUGUCUAAUAGAGGAUGAACAGGUGGGCUGGCCAAUUUCACCCAUUCUGGCUCAAAAUAGAGGUUUUUUAUUUUUUUAAUUUUAUUUUAUACAGUUGAAGACAGUUGUUGGCUGCCAACAUAUAGUAAAAGAAUAUAAUAUAAAGUAUAGCUGAGAAGGCUAUUGGAAAACACUAUUCAGAUAAGAUUGUUUGGACACCGCCACCACAGUCUCUCUCUCUCUUCUCCUGACUGUAACCACCUCCUCCAUCAUUGCUGCCUUGGCAUCCACCUUCUCCCAUUGCCACUGCUGCCUCCUCCUUGCAUCAUUGUUGCUGCUGCCUCCUCCAACAGUAUGCAAAGUCAUCUCUUCCACUUCCUUCCCCUCUUUCUCCUCCUAUGCUCACUCCUAUCUCUUCCACUUCCUCCCCCUCUUUCUCCUCCUAUGCUCACUUCUAUCUCUUAUCUCCACUCCUCUGCCUCCCCUUUUCUCGUUCUUUUUCUUUGGUGCAUGCCAUUUAGCACAGGGCACACCAUGUGUCAGCAUGCUUCACGUGCUGAUUGCCAGAUCAGUACAAGUAUCAGACCAAAAUUUGAAACCUUGGGUCUGGGCAUUCACAUGAAAUAUAUUCAAGCUGAAUGUAUACAGAAUGUCACAUAAAAAAUAUAGUUCUUUUUUAAGAAAGCAGCUUCUGUAAGUAGUUAACAGUAAAGUGAAAAAUUAGUUGGAGCAUACAUAAAAUUGGAACUUUACUGAGUGCAUGUUGGGUUGCUCCCUGAUUGCAACAUUUUGUAUCUACUCCACACGUAUGAUUCUUUGAGAAAAGGUUGGAUAAGAUGGACAUAAAUUAAAUUAAGGCACUGUUUUAGAAAUGAUUUGUUGCAUGGGCAUCCCAGUUUGGUGGCUAUUAAGUGAAGGUUCUCAUGUUGAUCAUAAGGAAAAACUUAAAUGGCCAGCUAGGAAAUAAGUCAACAUCAGGGGGGAGUUCUCAUGAGGCUAUGGAUAUAGGGGAAGAAAAUGAACCAUGUAAGUUUAGUUCUGUCACGCCUUAUGAGUUUUACUGGCAGUUAAGGAUUUUACAUGUUGGUUAUGCUAACCUUGUUGGUUGAUGCUUGAAGCUUUUAACACACUAGCACAGUACGGCAUUGGUCAUGCUAAUGUACAAUUUGCUAAUGUUGGCUGGCACUCCUUUGUUAGCACACACUGGAUUAGGACCUUACAAGCAUGAGGGUACAUCCUGGAACAAAAUGUUAUUUUGCUACUAUGUAUUCCUAUGGAGAUAAAUGCUUGAUUGCAAAUAAAUUGUAUAGUUACACAUUGUACGAGGGAUUUGCUAGGUCCAAUCUUGAGGCCUACUAUUUAUCUAGGAUUAAUCAAACUUGUCCAAAAUUAUUCAUGGCAACCAAAAUCUACCUCAGACUCAACCAGAAGCUAUUGGAACUCAAUCAAACCUCUGCCAUUGACAAAGUUCAUCUGAUGUCAGUCUAGUUCCACCGGUUUCAGUUAGUUACUGGGUUGCUCGGUUCCAGGAUUUUAGCCAGUUACCAGUCUGGUUGGUUUCAGUAAGUUCUAACUGGUUUAUUGCUAUUAUCGGUUCAUUUUGAGAUCUAAUAGCUGAUUUUGAUCCUGACUUGACGUAGCCAAUUUAUGCUGAUUUCUGGUUAUCAAGAUCGAUUUUAAUUGUCAUGGUUGAACUUAGCUCAUUUUUAGCUUUGGAGAACCCAAUUUUUUGAUUGCAGAAUUUGAUUUGGCUAGUUUGUCAAUCAUAAUUCCAUAAACCUUAGCACAUCUGACUUAAUAAUAUCCUGCCAAUUCAUAUACGUGUAUUUUAAGCUUAUAUUUCUUUGUGUAUACGAAACAAAAGAUAGUGUAAAAUAUUUGCUUUUUUUUUUCUUUGAAUUUGAAGAUGGAGUUGGCUCUCUAUCUUUUUUUUGUCUUUUCUUUGUCUCUUUAUUUUAGAGGAUAUCCCUUGUAUUCCUAAUAUUAAGCUCUCUUCCUUAUAUGAUUAGCUUUAUAAUCUUCUUAUGCAUUAAGUUGAGGGUACAUGUGAUUUUCAGGCAUGGAUUUUGGAACAAGCAAAAUACACCAAGGUAUGAAUUAUCACUAUAUACUGUCCAUUAGUUUCUUAGAUAAACUCUACUCACAGUUUUCUUUAUCAAAACCUCAAGAGAUUGGUGAUACUUUUUUCUGUAACAUUGGGAUAGGUUUUAAAUUGAGAUGUAGAAAAAGCAAAUAGAUGACUGGUGAAGAAUAUUGCUGAGAGCACAGCAUCCUUCUCAAGAAUAGUCUAACCUCUUAAAUUCUUGCCUUUAAAAUCCAAACAAUCUAAUGUGCAGAGCAAUUCAUACAAAUCCCUAUCUUGGUACAUUAUAUACAUUAAAUCAUUUACAGUCAUGAGAAGCUAGUUAAAGUUUACAAUCAUCGCUCUUAAAUCAUUGUUGAUUUGAGCAAAAUAAAUUUAGUCUUGGUGAAAACAAAUUUUAGUCCUCAAUUAGAUAGUGCUAUUACAAGAAAAACAAUUGAAACUAGGUGAGACAUGGCUGUGCCUGUGCCAAAACCAAUUUCUUACUUAGACCUGAUUAAUCUCAUAUCACCGGGAUGUUUCCUUGUGAUGCUUUUAAAUAAUUUUCAGUCAUCACUUGUUGAUUGGGUGAUAACAAGUGACUCAACCAGUUUAAGCUAUAAAAAGAAUUUGUUUGUCAUUAUUUAAUGAUAUUUAUUUUAUCCUUCUUUUUCCUUGCAGGAGGCAAUAUCACAGUUCUAUCGGUUUAUCUGGAAUCUUUUCUACACCGAAUAUAUCAUUUUUCCCCUUAUAUAGCAAAACUUAGAAUUUUCUAUUGCUUGUAUCUCUGAAUCCUUUUCGCUUAUCCUUCUAUUUCUUGAUCAAGAGAAAAUUUGUAGGGAUAAGUGUCGUAGAAGAGAUUGCCCUCUUGAGAUGCAUGCAUAGAGGAGUACACACAGUGGGGAGUGCCAGUUUUGUUCCUGAAACUGACUGAUCCAAGGGCAUGUAUUUUGCAUGUUUUAUGCAGUUAUUUUAUUAGGUUAAUUACUCAGUAUUUUAUGUGUGAAAAUUGAGGAUAAACAGCUAUGUAGUUUUCUCAUUGACCAAUGAUAAUUUAUUUUGAAUGAAUUAUUCUUCCACGGACGUCAACUACUUUUUGCAGUGUGAUACUGCUUUGUGCUGUGGGUGUUGUUUGUUGAUGAACAUUUCAGUAGAUGGGAACCUUAUUACAAUAUUAUUUUGUAAAAUUGCAUAUAUAUAAUUCAUAUUUAUCACAAAGUUAUGUUUUGUGUGUGUGUGUGUGUGUAUAUAUAUAUAUAUAUAUAUAUAUAUAUAUAUAUAUAUAUAUAAUAGUAACUUUUGCCCUAUAUUUAUUCCAAACUCGAUUUAUAGAUAUUUUAAUCUAAAUUAAAUCAGCAAAAUAAACAUGGAAAUAGCAAAAGAAAAAAAGAA
rnacentral:lncRNA from 1 species